rnacentral:lncRNA from 1 species
CAUGUCCUAAACCCCCACCAAAACGACGAUUCUUAAACAGUAACUUCUCAUUUUCAACUUCCUUGUUAACAACAUCAGCAUGGACAUAAUUUUCUACAACAAAUACAAGCAAGAGAAUAAAAAUUCCAACACUACGAGCAGAUAAUAAUAAACCCAUUAUUUAUGACCUAAAUUCUUAAACCCAAUGUAUAAGAAAUGAACUAAAAUUAAGGACAUGCAAGAAUGUUUACUAUAUGAGCCUAUUAUAUAGUGCAAGAAAAUCACACAUGGUCUUUGUAACUCAACUGUCACCUUCUACUCUAAUUGAGUAAAUGCAUGCUUGCUAUACUCUCCAAUUGGUUAGAACUUAGAAGAUUUAAUUCUUGCAACUGCCCCUCUUCCCACAUUAAUUAGGGCGCACUAUGUUGAAUUUUAUGGUACUCCGGUGCUCUUAAACCUGACGCGGAUUAGAUAUAAUAAUAUAAGAAAUGUAUAAAGAUACGUUUGCAUAGGAUUUAAAAACACUUUGAAAAUUAAGAAAAUAUCAUUGAAUAUUUGAUUUUCAUGUCGAACCUUAAAGUUAUGAAGUUAAUAUGUGUAUUUGAAUCUCUUGAUCACCAUGACCCCUAAAUCCUACCCCACACACUUGCAAAGUCACAAAGAUAUAAUUAUUUUCAUUCUUGCUUUUAAUUUGACUUUUAGAGUGUCUCUCAUUUAUUAUGAAUUUAUCCCAUAGUUCCACGUUACAAACAAAGACACUUUAGAACAAUGUGAAACAGUGGACGAAUCCUAAUUUUCAGUUUAAACAUGUGAAUAUAAAUCAUGGAUUCACCUAUGAGUCAACCCAUGUAAACUAGUGUUAGAAUAAAGAUUUUCCAAUAAGCAACUUCAAUUUAUUGUGAUUCAGCAUCUAUUAUGUUUACAUAAAAUAAUAAUUUUAAUUGUAAGUAUAUAUAUUAUAAUUUUAUAUGUAUUCUAAAAUAAAUUCAAUUUAUUCUUAUGAUCAAACAUAAUUUUUCAAAUGUCAGUUUUCACUUUAAAAGCAAAAACUUUUAUCAAUUACUCAUAAAUUCAUUGACUUGUGAACUACUUAUUAUAAUGAAUCAAAUAGAAGACUUCUUCCAUGAUAUCUAAACUUGAUGUUAUCUUGUAAGUUGGGCUCUUAAUAUUGUUGGGUCCUAAUUGUAUGCCAUUAAUGGUGUAAUUAAUCUAUUUUUCCUGCCAACAGUUUGUGGUUUGUCUUUCUCUUUCAUUGAAAAAUACUUUGAUCUAAAAGUAUUCAUUGACUUUAUCAAGCAUGACUUUGUUCCUAUCACUACUCUUCCUCGAAGUUUUUCUUAAAGUAAGUAAUAAUAGUGUUAUAAUGAGUUUGUUAAUAUCUCGAUUAAUCUACUAUUUUUUUUAAGUAAGUAAUAAUAGUGUUAUAAUUAGUUUGUGAACAUCUCGAUUAAUCUACUAUUAUUUGUAUAUUGUCUACUAUUAUUAUAUAUAUGAAUCGAAUAAUGAUUUUAUCAUCGAGAUCUAGACUAACGAAAAAUAAUUCAUUUAGUAUUGUUGCAUCCAGUUUUUUAAAAGGCAAGUUUGGGACUCUUCUCAAUAUGGGGCAUUGACGAAUUAAAACGGUUUAAUUGUAUUAUUUUGAUAUUUCUGCUUUGAGAAAUUUUUUUGUGCAAAGGUUAGAUUUAGUUGUAUUAUUUUGAUAUUACUUGGUUAUAGCUAACAGGUGGUAAAAUGUGGAUCAACUUUGAAAUUUUUUUUUGAUAAAGAUUAAGUUUAGUUAAAUAAAUUCUUCAUCUUUACAUAUUCAAAAGAUGUCGAAUUUAAUUCUUGUAUUCAUCUUUAUUAUUUAAACAAGGGAAAAUGUACGAAUAUACUCCUGAACUUUAAUAAAUGGUACAGAUGUACCAUCCAUCAUACUUUUGGUAUAAAUAUACCUUUUGCGUUAAUGAAAAGUUACAUAUAUACCCAUAAACUUUAAUAAAUGAUAUAAAUAAACCCUCCAUCAUAAUUUAGGUAUAAAUAUACCUUUGUCGUUAAUGAAAAAGGUACAUAUAUGUCCCUAAACUUUGAUAAAUGGUACAGAUAUAUUCUUCGUCAUACUUUAAGCACAAAUGUACUCUUGUUGUUAAUAAAAAGGUAUAUAGAUACCCUUCUCACUAACGGCAGGACACGUGUCACAAUCUUGUUUAUUUGUCUUUUUUAGUUUAACUAGUCAAGUGUACGUGUUUUGAAUGUGUGUCUCACAACAAAUAAAAUUAUUAAAAAAUAGUCACCCACGUUAAAAGUUUGUAUCUAUUCAAAUCAUAUAAAUGCAAUAAUAUGUAUCUCAAAUACUUGGACAUUUAAUUGUCUAUCAAUAAUAGAUGAUAAUUUAUUAUUGUAAACUUCAAGUUUAUACUAAAAUUUGAGAAAACUUACAUCAAGUCACAAACAAACUUAUCUUUUUAAUAAUAAAUACUAUGACAUUUGUCUAUCAAGAAUUUAUUAUUAAAAAUCAUAGAUAUUAUAAUAAUUGUCAAUCAAGAAUUUAUGUAGUUAAAACUUUAGGAAUAUACUAAAACUUUAAAAAACUUAACUCGUGACAACCGUAAUAAAAAAAAAAUCUAAAAUUAAAAGGGUUUUCAUAUAUAUAAAGUAGACGAUCCAUAAAUCAAAAAAUACACUAAUUAAUAUUUUAAAAAUAUUUCACAUAUUCAUAUAUUUUAAUAACUAUUUUCCAUAAAAAUAAUUUUCUUACCUUAAAAGACAAACCUUUCUCAUAGAUUUUGAAAAAUUCAGCUAGUUUGUCUACAUUAGAAAAUCAAUAUUUUCCAUAAAUGUAGGAAAACACGUAGAAAACAUUAAGAAAAUAAAAUUUUUCCCUUAAAAAUAGAAAAAUUCAACAAAUUUACACCUAACAAAAUUCUUCUCUAUUAUUUUUAAUACUAGGUUGAUUUCUCCUAUUUGAAACAUUGAAGCUUCUUUUUUUUUUUUGCUAUUUCAAUACACGUCAUGCAUAAAAUGUUCACCUUCUUGUAUAGCCAAAAAAUAACAUUCUAAUACAUUUAUAAGUGUCAAGAGUUCGAAUCUCACUAUUGCAUAUGCUUUCUGCUAUUCAAGAUUAAUCAAUUUCAAAUUUUAUCGUUAGAAUGUGGAAUUAAAUUGUAUAAUGAAUCCUUUUUUUUUUUUUACGGAAUAAAAAUUGUAAUCAAUAGGUCAAAAUAUGUAUUAUGCAAAAUCAAAUUACUCAAUUAUAUAUUUUCAAUUGAAUCAUUGAGUUUGGUAUCUUAUUUAGGUGACUAUGGUCCUUUCUUCACAUUAACCGUAUUACAACAAGGAGCUCUGCCGAAUUAACUAAAUGAGUUUAGAUUAAAGCAAAUAUAAAUACACCACGAAAAUUAAUAUGAGAUGUGAAAACAAAUUAAAUGAGACCUGAAUAAAGAGAAAAGUGUCAAAUAGUUGACAAGUUCAUUUCCGAUCAUGUAAUUUUACAAAUGUAAUAAAAUAAAAAAUAAUUGAAAAAAGGUAGAUGGGACUCACAGAAUUGCUGGUAGAAAUGUGCGAGUUCAUCGGUUAUAAAAGAUCUUUUUUAGGAACUAUAACGUCACGUGACAACAUUCUUUUCAUAAGAAAUUCCUAUAUCGAUCUAUCUAUUAUUAAAGAUUUUGUUAAAGAUUUUUAAUAAUUAGGAAGAGAUUUAUUCAUUUGCUUUUGUAAGUACGUUUCACUCAUCUCUUCAUAGACUAAUUCAAACUGAAUGUUUAAUCUGAACAAUAUUUAAUAAUUAUAAAUUAGAUAAAAUAUCAUCAAUUAAGAUCAAUAGCUACAAAUUGAUAGAGGAAGAGGAUCCAAGAGGUCAAGAAUUUGUUUGUUUAAGUUAAUGUUAAAGUUUUACUCUCUGCUUGCCUCCCUUUUCUGUACCAAAAUACUGAAAUUAAGAUUUAUAUAUCUAAACCAAUGUAUAUAUAGGGACUAACUUAGAGCAAGAAAACAUAGAAAAAGAAAAGCACACAAGCAAAUGCUUAGAAUUUGGACAAAAUAUAUGUCAUUUGCAAACCGGCCAGAUGUAUGGUAAUCAAUCGACUAAAAGUUUCUUUCAAUCAAAAAGUCGCUAACUUUAGAGAAGCUAAUCAAGUUGCGGAUAAUCUAGCUUCUCUAUAUCACAAUCAAGAGAACAUAUGUAUAGAUAACACUUUUGCUUACCUCCCUCGUCAAGUUAAAGGGUUGACGAAUGUGGAUGGAUAGAUGACAAUUACAUUCAUUUAGAGUCGAGAAGAAAAGACCAAACCUGCUCACAUAUGAACCUUACUACUUUUUUUUGCUUACAUUUUAUCACUUUUUGUCCAGCUUUGUCUCUUUCUUUAGUCUGGAUAAUUGUUGCAGGGCGUAAACUAUAACAUUAACUUAAACAAGCAAAUUCUUGGGUUUUUGGAUCCACUUCCUAUGUCAGUUGAAUUUAGAGCGAAACUCGUGCCUGAUUAUGUCCCAAAUAUUUUGGGAUUAUAUCAUCUAAUGAACGUUAAUUAAUGUUCAAUCAUAGUUAGAUUCCAAUGAAUAAAACUUUCAGUGCAAGUCCUAUGAAGUUUUUAGCAGAUCACCCUUGCCCUUAUAAAAUAGCCAGUCCAAUAAUUAUUCUGCACUGUAAUAGAAGGAAAAUUACUAGAGAAACUAUCAAAGAUAUUAACUGAGGCCACUAGUAAAUGAUUGUUUCCAGCUAAAGCGCGCUGCAAAUUAGUUGCUAUAGCUAGAAGCGAGAGACUUUUUGCAGCGAGACCAACAGGAAUAUUUGUCAAUGAACAUAGUGAUUGCAUAAGUUUAUUGCAGUAUAGAAUCGAGUAGAUCCCAACAGAAGUAAUGGCGCUACAUGUAUUAAAGUCAUGACUUGAAAUUUACUCCCAGAUCCCAUACACAAAGAUCUGAUGUAGUUCCACAAACAGUGACAAGAAAGAGGUUCACAUCAUGAAUAACGGAAACUGAUUCAAAAUUCAUUGAUCAAAGAAAGUGUAAUCAAUAGGAUAAGCAAAUUUCCUUGAAGCUGCCUGCAACUAAAGUUGAACAAUAAUUGCAAGGAAUGUAAAAUUUUAGCGGAAAAUCAAAUUUGUAGUACACUCACCUCUUUUACAAUACCUUCAUUAUAUUUUCCAUGCUCAACAUUGGGUAUUAUUUCAUCCAAAGGCAGUUCACUUGUCGGAAUGCCAUCCUCUCUUUCUCCAUAAAGAAAUUAUCAAGAUACAUACCAUCAAUUAUCUCAAGCUCCACAAAAAAAUCAGUUAGUUUCAUAUAUUCAAAGGUCUCAAAAUCAAAUUUAUAAUGACAAAGAACCACAAUUCAGAGAAGUUGUAGUAGCAUACCACCCUGCCAUGACCAUUUUAAUUGGAGCAUCUUAUUGGCGCAGCAUAUAUCUGACCUUUUGUGGAACAUCUCGUGUGCAUCCAUUUGCUUUUGCAUUCAGACUGGUUAUCAAAUUUUUGAGGCAAAGAUUUACUGGUUCACUGUGGAUCAAAUUCAUCCAAUUGCUUGUUCUGAAAAAUUCGUUGGUAGCACCACAAAGCUGCUCAUCGAGAUUGAUAAGUUGUGUUUUUUUACAAUUUCACAAAAAUGUGUGUGAUGCACACAUGCAUUGCUUCUAUUUUUUUUUUUUCUUUUUGUGAAAGUUUUGUUUGUUUCCUUUUUUUUUUUUUUUUUUUUCCCAGAAACUUUGGCAAAGUUUAUUAUUUUAUUAGGUUAUUCUAAUUAGGGUUUUUAAAAUGGGUAAAUUAGUAAUUUCACUUUAAGUUUUUUGAGUUGAACCUUUUAAGGUAGUAUUGAAUAUUGAAUUUAUUAUAGUUAAUAUUCAAUAUUAUAAAAAUAUAAUAAUAUAAUAAUUUAAAUAAAAAAAUGAAAUGACAAUUUUAUCUAUUAUGAAGACUUUUAAUGAAGGGUGAAAAGUUCAAAUCACUUUUUUAAAAGUUUUCACACUUUUAAUAUAUUAUAGAUAUAGAUUAUAGAUUUAUCCACACCUUACCUGAAAAUAAUUCUAAUUUAACCCAUAAAUCGAUUCAAAUAAUAACCAAACCCGACCCGGUCUAAUAGAACCUUCAAGACAUCUUUAUUCACUCAUAUUCAUUCUCUCUUUCUCUUUCUAUUAAACCAGGUCAGAUAUGAGUUAUUAUUUGGAUCGGAUUAUGAGUUAAACUAGAAUUAUUUAGGGGUGGGGCUAGGAUAUAUUAAAUUGAAAAGGUUAAAUGAACAGAAUUGUGAUACAUGUCCUACCGAUAGCGAGAAGGGUAUAUAUGUAUCUUUUCAUUAACUCAAGGGUAUAUUUGUACCUAAAGUAUGACGAAGGGUAUAUUUAUACCAUUUAUCAAUAUUUAGGGGUAUAUAUGUAUCUUUUCAUUAAUGACAAAGAUAUAUUUAUACCUAAAGUAUGACGGAGGAUAUAUCUGUACCGUUUAUCUAAGUUCAGGAGUAUAUUCGUACCUUUUCCGUUUAAACAAAUAUCUUAUUUAAUAUAACGUUUGAAUUCAUUAAAGUGAGGUACACUCGCGAGGCGCGUACACCUAAACUAGUUCUUUAAUAAAUGAAUAAUGCUUAGUGUUUUUCAUCUAUAGAAUAGGAAAAACGAGAGUAGCUAAAUAACAAGUCGUAGUACUGCUUAUUUACUUUUUGAGAAUGUCGUGAGGGUGAAUAUGACUUAAUUUUUUUUUUUAAAUGCAUACACACACACACACACACACACACAUAUAUAUAUAUAUAUAUAUAUAUAUCCGAUAUUUAUAUCUUCACUUGAUUGAUCCUUAUAUUUUUGGCCAAUGUCUCAAAAUUAUCAUAAUUUAUUAAUUUGUUAUUUGAAAGCACUUUAUUUUUAUUCAUGGAGGAGUGAUGUUUUAAUUAUAAUACUAACAGUUUGUUGAUUUAUUUUUUUGGGGUGUAAACUGCAUAGUAUGAUAGCCAUAAUUUUUAAAACUUGCGAUUCUUUUAUUGUUUGAAAGUUCAGAGGUUAGAGUUGGUUUAUAUCACAUAAGAACUUUUAUAUCAUUAAAUUAUUUCUACAAUGAUGUUAAAAGUUUUGUUUUCUAUGAGUAUUUUUAAUCAUGUUUUAAAUUUUGAAAAAUUAUUUAUGUAUUCUUUUUUAAAAUUGUUGUGUUAUUAUAAUAGUUAACUAGGUUAUAAGUUAAAACUAAAGAUUCACGGGUGUAAAGGUUUUAUGAAGAUAUGAGACUUGAUUAUUAUUUACAUAGGAGUUCUUCCUCAAUACAUACAAGAUGCUAUAUAAAGUGUAAUUGAACACCAACUCUUUAUAAACUAUACAAUUUUAAUCAUAUGUAAAGAGAUAAACUAUACAAUUCUAAUCAAAUGUAAAUAUAAAUGUGACUUUUAUGGUGUUUUAACAUGCCCCCGUAAGCUGUGGUUGUGAAACUGCAAGCUUGGAACGCAAGAGAUGAAACCGAUGGGAAAGAAGGCUCUUGGUGAAGAUGCCUGCUCAGGAGCGGAGCCACCUUUGGUUUAGGGGGUCAUCCGAACCUAAAAUUAUAUUAUUUAAAUAUGUUUAUAAUAAUUUUUUAUGUAUAUAUAGUGAGGUUGAACCCCCUUCGGCUCGUGCGUAUGUUCACUUUUUCAAUUUUUGAAACCCCUUAAUAGUACUCCUGGCUCCGCAGUCUGCUAACUGAUCUAAGGAACUGAUUUAGCGAACGUUUAGGUCCUUUGAGGCCACUAUCUCUCGAACAAAAUGAAAAUGUUAUUCAAUAUGUUUGGUUCGCUCAUGAAAAAUAAGAUUGGCAGUGAGAUAGGUAGUGGACAGAUUAUCACACCGUAGUGUGGGAGCUUGGGGAAGAGAGACACACAACUCUUGAAGAAGAUGUUGCAUCUAGGUAACUUCGAUAGUAGCCGCAGCUAAGGUCCAAUAUUCAGCCUCGAUACUAGAUCGUGCAACCACUCGCUGCUUUUUUGAGCUCCAUGACACUAAAUUGGGUCUAAGAAAUAGAUAAUAACCAUUGGUAGAUCGUCGAUAAUCUGGGCAACCAGUCUAGUCCGCAUAUAUGAAGGCCUGAAAUGAUAAGGAGCUAGCGAAAUGCAAGUGCAAGCCGAGGUUUAUGGUUGCCUUUAAAUAGAGCAACAAGUGUUUUAUAGCAGUGUGAUAAGACUCCAUAAAUUUAUGCAUGAAUUCACAUAAUUUGUUGACAGUAAAUGACAACAAAACUUAUAUACUUUUUUUUAUUGAUAAGAGGGCAUUACAAUUACAUAGUCCAUGAGUUUUUUUGAAACAAGAUGGACAAAAGCUUUUGCUUUUUCUUUUGAUCACUAGCUUAACAAAAUACACUAUAGAUUAUGAUAGAUAUAGACUUGUUUGAGUACUAGAAAUACUAUAUUUUCAACAAGUUUCACAAAACAAUAAUAGUAUCAAAGUAAUUAACUACUUGAUAUAUAAAAGCACAUAGGACACAAUUCCAAGGGACUAUACCGAGUUGGAGAGUCGAGCAAGGUUCUGUCGAGGUUUCGAUCUGCGACUCUGUCAUUACAUCAAAAACAAAAAUUACAAGUUAAAACAUGAAUAAAAUUACAAAAGUCCUAUCUAUGCGGCUUCUUUUGGACUCUUGACUUGAGUUUCAUCACCCUAUUCUUCAGGCGGGCUCCUGACUUGUAAUUUCUUCAACUUGUUGCCUGACUUUCAAUUUCUUCACCCUGUUCUCCAGGUGGGCUCCUGACUUGAUAUUUUUUAAUUUGUUGACUUUCAAUUUCUUCACCUUGUUGUUUUACUUUUCAUUUAUUCACCCUGUGUGUCGGGCGGGCUCUAAUGUUGCUCGAAUUAUCAAAACAAGGAAGUGCGUUUCCUUACAAAUGCCACUUGAAUUAUCCAAACAGAGAAGUGCGUCUCCUUAUAGAUGUUGCUUAAACUACCAAAGAAAGGAAGUGCAUGUCCUUACAAAUGCCACUUGAAUUACCAAAAUAAGAAAGUGCGUCUCCUUACCAAUGCCGCUUGAAUUACCCAAACAAGGACGUGCGUCUCCUUACAAAUGCCGGUUGAAUUACCCAAACAAGAAAGCGUGUCUCCUUACAAAUGCCGCUUGAAUUGCCAAAAUAAGUAAGUACAUCUCCUUACCAAUGCCACUUGAAUUAUCUAAACAAGGAAGUGCGUCUCCUUACCAAUGCCGCUUGAAUUACCCAAACAAGUAAGUGUGUCUCCUUACCAAUGUUGCUUGAAUUAACCAAACAAGGAAGUGCGUAUCCUUAGAAAUGUCACUUAAAUUACCGAAUAAGAAAGUGCUUCUCCUUACCAAUGUCGCUUGAAUUACCCAAACAAGGAAGUGCGUCUCCUUACAAUGCCGGUUGAAUUACCUAAACAAGGAAGUGCGUCUCUUUACAAAUAUCACUUGAAUUACCAAACAAGGAAGUGUGUUUCCUAAAAAAUGUUGCAUGAUUUUGAAUGUUAAAUCUAUGCAGCAACAUUGCCUCUUGCAUUUGUAGAAGUCAGAAUAUUACGACCUUUGAUGUUUAGGCUUUGAAAUCCUUGAUUUGAAAGUAGAAUGUAUUCCUAUUUCAUACAAAGAAAACUUGUUAGUUUAAAAACAUAGUGGAUGGAUUGUGGCUUUGGAUUUCGUGGAAAUCGCUCUUUCCCCUGUCACAUUUAAUCAUGCUUUCAACCAUUAGCAUGUGUCACUGACUUGCUGCAUCAUUGACCCAAACUCAAAUUAUUAAGAGUGACUCUGAAACAGAUACAGUAUCUCUGCUUUAUCAUGCUUCUCAGGUAAACCCUUUGAACCUUGGUAUUUCCAUGAGUUCCCAGACUUGUCGGUUGAUAAAACUUUCUGCAUGCCUUAUUUCGGCUCACAAUUAUGUCUCUUUUAUGUCUUUCUUUUGCGCAAUUGAAGAAGAUGGUAGCUAAUUUUGAAGUCUUUUCUCACUUGUUUUGACAUGGACUUGACUCAAAGACAAGAGAAAAAAUGACAAUGAUUUUAUUUGGACAACUGACUAAAGAAAAUAAAAUAAAAAUAAAGAGAAGAAAGAAAAGAAAAUGAAUGUCCCCAUAUGAAAUAAAGAAAUGAAAAAUUUAUCUAGAAUUGACAGUCAACUCUAAUGAUUAUACUAUGCAUUUUGAAUUAAGCUGCCUGAUUUUUCCAUCCAAACUUUUUACCAAUUGUUGUUGAGUUAAUUGGCUCUGAAACUAAGUUACUUGCUUGAACCCAUUGCAUUCUAAGAGCUCAUUCGGCUAGUGGCACAUUGAAGGAUUUUUGCCAACAAGACUCUCUCAUUUUUCUCUCAACUCACCAUCGCCUUAUGGUGCCCGUGAGGGUUUUCACCAAUAAGACUCUCUCAUUUUUACUUGUCUCAACUUACCAUCGCCUUAUGGUAACCGUGAUGGUUUUCACCAAUAAAAUUCUCUCAUUUUUAUUUCUCUCCUGAUUUCUUAUGCUGAGGAGGACGCGUAGUUCCUAAAAUAUGUCAUCACAUCCAUUGCAUGCUUAGCCUUGACAUUCUUAAAGAUUGAUCUGAAGGUCUUUCUUUGGUUGUAACUUGGCUUUUGGAUAGGGUUAGAAAGAAAGGAUGGGAUGGGGCCCAAACGACACUUGAAGUUGGGUGGGACUUACAACUUUUGGAAUUGACUCCAAUAAUGAGGAUUAACUCAUGCCUCUGUUUCUUUUGAUUGGGUAAUUCUAAAUUGUUUAUUUAGUUGGACCGAGCCCAAAGUAGGGCAACCUACGUAUCUCACCCCGAGAGAGGAUAAUAAGGUCACGCGUAGUUCUGGCAUCUUGUUCUUUUGUUUGAUUCUGAGUUCUUUUUUUUUUAUGGACUCUUUUCUUUUGAAACUUUUCUCACUCUAUUCUUUUGCUCAACAUUUUUCUUUUGAUCUUUGUUGACUCUAUCUUGAUUUCAAAAGAGGUGUAUGAAAGAAGAUAAAAUUAUGGCUCAAAUGGAGUAAACAAAGGAUGACACAAUAUUUGGAUAGCAGAAUGAAAUGCCUUCGUCAUAUCAAUCCUUGAAAAUACAAGUACACAUCACGCAAUAUGAAAGUGACAGAUAAUGAUCAUUUGUGACAUUUUUUUUACAACAGUAACUUUGAUUGAGCAUGUGCGCCACUUUUUCUUCUACAUUUGUCAAACAUAUAACUUCAUCUUUGUUGUACAUUUCUCAUAUCGAAUGAUCUAUGCUUUUAUGGAGCUGAUUAUCUUCUUGUUUCUCUUGAUAUAGGGAUCACACGUCCACUAUUUGACUUAAUUGGGACCUGCCUGUCAAUUGAUGACCAAGUUGUUCUUGUGAUUCUCAAAAUAAUUUCCUUAACUUGUCAUCAAAUGUCUCAGCACUCUAUCUAUUUUCUCAUAAGCUUUUUUUUCUAACUUUAACCCUCUGAUUCAAAGUUCAUGUUUAAAAUGAAUUUUAAGAUCUGGCUGAAAAUUUCACUAGCAUGUCAUAUCACUAGAGUCAGCAUAAAAUGUACUAUGUAAAGAAAACAAAAAAAACAAUACAUAUUUAAAAUACAAAGAAAAAUGGGACACUUCAUUUAGUUGAAACAAAAGAUAGAAAGGUUUGAACAUAAACGACAAAGCGAGAUAGAUCUCAAACUACAACCCAAAAAUAAUUUGGACAAUAAAAAAUAAAACAAAACAAGCUACCAGACCUCUUCUAGUUGGGAGAGGGGUGACUUCUCAAUUGCUCAGCCUAACAUUUUAGCCAUUGAUUUGCAUAUCAGCAUGACUAGAGUUUUCCUCACUGUCAAUGUUCUGCACCAUAAUUGAUCCAUCUUGAAUCUUCUUUUCAAUUUCUCUUUUCAAAUCUCGACAAUUUUCAAUAGUAUGACCCUAAGCAUCAGAAUGAUACGCACAUCGUGCAUUAGGAUUAAAAUUUCUUAAACGCCGAUUAGGAGUGUACCCAAGGAGAGGAGUAGUCAUGCCCCUCUGUAUCAAUCUCUGGAACAAACUGACAUAGGAUUCCCCAUUAGGAGUGAAAUUAUCCUUUUCUUUCCCCCUCCUUGCAAACUCUGGCCUCGGAUGAUAUUUGGAUUUAGAGGUUCCUUGGUAAAUUUGUGGGGGUCGAGGACGAUGUUGAGGGACAGAUGCAUUCCAUUGUGGAUAAGAAGACGGAUGGGUACACAAUUGUGCAUUGUUCAAAGGACAUUGAGGAAGUAGAAUGAAACUCCUUGGAUUUUGAAAAGAGGAACCUUGUUGCAGAUGAGUAAGUGGAUUUGAUAUGUAAGCUUGAGAUUCAGGCUGACAGUAUUGGUGAGUUGGACCUCUUAAACUUUGCUUUGGUCCUGGCACGACAAUAGGUGCGUUUUCCUUCUUCUUUCCUUCAGUUUCCCUUGAUUGAUUACAAUAUUGUCCUAAAUGUUUCACAGAAUCAUGCUGUCCACCAAGCUCCUCAAAUUUUGAUGUCUUAAAGCUUGGAGGAAGGUUAACACUUGACAACAUGCCCCAGCUUUUGUAUGAAACAUCUUCAUAGCCUACAAGUCCCAAGGAACUUUUCAUAUCAUUUUCUACACUCUUAACUUUCCCAACCAUUUCCUCUGGCUCUUCUAGCAUGCUAGGCUUCUUAGUAAGAAAUUUUGGCGGUCCACUUAAUUCAACUGUAGGAUCAAGAGUAUAACAAUGAUCAUCAAGAGUAUUGAACGUGGAUUCACUAGUGGACUGGGAAAGCACAAUCGUUGGAUUGAUAGCCAAAGUGGAAACCUUAAUAGAAGGUUGAGCAACUAAAGCACAGAUGGUAUGUGGUGCUAGCACAGACGGCAUGUGGUUCUGUGAAUAUGGUAGACUUAUACUGAAGAGCUAAAGAAAGAGUGUUGGAAGUAUUGAGGUGCAUUUGAUGUGGAAUGAAUUAUGAGGCAUGUGGUGGUGUAUCAACAACAGAAGGAAACUGACUUUGCGAUUUUGGUGGAAGCCUCAAGGUAUUUGCAUGGUCAAAAGUGGGGAACGGAGGUGGAGACAGUCCACUGGCCCAAGCUCGGUACAUUUCCAUCAUUUGUUGUCUCAGUCUCAAAUUCUCUUUCUUUAAACUCUCAAUUUCCUGACUCUUUAUUUCAUCCAUGAUUCCACUCUCUAUAUCCUUGUUGGACACAACUAACCCUUCCUUGGAUUUAGUGUGAUGUGGAGGACCAGCCAGGAAGCCACAAACCAACCACCUUAAACUAACUGAACCAGAGGCAACAAAUAUGUUAGAGUUCAACAUUUUCUUCAAAACCUUAUUUUUUUAGAAUAGAUCACCGAACCCAAGAAGGGCGCCUACGUAUCUCACCCCCAAAAGAGGAGAAUCAAGUGUACGUAGCUCGUGAAGUCUAGCCAAAAUGGCCGAUUAAACUCUUUUUCCAUUUUUUUUCUUUUUCUUGAAACUUUAAAAAGAAAAGGAAAUAACAAAUUGUCAAAAGAGUUGACGAAAAUCUUUUUGCAUUUUUCUAGUUUAAACUCCAUAUACAAAAUGAAACCUAUGAUUACCAAAGAAAAAUCUUUUUGAGUUUUCAAUUUUGAAUUUCAUAUGAAAAUGAAACUCGAACCUAUUAAAGGAUUUUUUUUUUUAGUUUUCUUUUAAAGAAGUAUAUGAAACACCUACUCUAAUAAAGAGUGAAGAAAAUCUUUUUUUUUUUUUGAAUUUUUCAAAUAAGAUCCCCGAACCAACAAUAGGUUGCCUACGUAUAUCACUUCAGAGAGAGGAGAAUCAGGGGUGCGUAGUUCGUCCAGAUUGGAUAAUUAAGGAUUAAAUGACAAACUAAACCCUGAAUUGAGAGACACAACUAAAGACAGACGAUGAAAAUAAAAUAUUUUUUGGGUUUUUAAUUAGAAACUAACACCAACCAUUAUGAAAGAAAAAAUCAUUUUGAUAUUUUCGUUAUAUAAAAAUGUACAAAGCUCCUAUUGAAAGGAAAUUUUCUUUUUGGAGUUUACGAAUUGUGAAUGCUUACUAAAGAAAUAAAAGAAAUUUUUUUUAACGUUUUUGAUUUUUUGGGACAUGAGUGCAAAAAGUAAAAAGAAUAUUUUUUUGAAUUUUUGAAUUGUGAAAAACAAAAGCCAUAAAGAACCCUAAAAAUUACCAAAUCUCUUUUUUUUUUCCACUCUUUUUUUCUUCCUUUUUUCAACAAUUUCCUUCCUAUACACUUUGUUUCUAACUCGUGCUUUUGUCCAAAUCAGUCUGUCAAAUGACCUCGUCACCCUCAAAGUGCAACAUUUAGCACGUAGGGAUGCUUUAGAGGUGAGUUUCCUAUAAAUGACCAAGUGGUCCCUGUUAGGUCUUCAAUAUGAUACACAUAAGCAUUACCUAAAGGCUGACCUACGUUGGGGUUCACUAACAAGGCUGUUCGGGGGAGCGUAUGGUCGAUAGUGGCUGCUUUACUUUCCACCUACUCCAUAACACCGACGGCUCCCUACCUAAAAUAAGGGCGACUCAACUAGAGUUUGUGUACACGACGUGCACUCCAGGACAUGUUGUAGAAAGAAUUGACUCGGGUUAUGCACAUGAUGCCAGCUAUAAAGUGAUAACACAUAAGAUAAAAACUAUAAACAAAGAGCAAGUAGGAACUCAACAAUGACAAACAAUAGCACAAAACAACACAAACAAAAUGUCCUUACACCUAUAGUGCCAAACUAAGUCGAUACAACUCCAAAAAUAAGCUCGAAUUCUGAAAUUGUCCCCAGCAGAGUCGCUAGAGCUGUCACACCCUUUUUUAACUCCCAAAAAGAAUUGAUUUUAUGGGUCGAAAGGGUUCUUAUUAUUAAAGUGACAAAAAAUGAGAUUUGUUUCAAAAAGAUUCAUUUUGCAAUUAACUCAGAGUCGCCAUUUGUCAUAAAUUGGGUGUGCCAAGUCACCCUUGGAUAUCCUUUUUCAAAAUGGUUUUGACUCUUUAAAACUGUUUUGCGAACAGAGAUUCCGGCUAAGGAAUUCUGUUGAUCGAGGAAAAGGUGUUAGGCAUCCUUCGAUCCCGUGGUUCGACCACGGUCGCUUGAUGGAGUGUAUCGGCUAAUUUGACAUUACAAAUGUAUAAACCACACAAAAUACAUAAAACAAUCAAUCAAACACAGGAAACAAAAGAAAUCCAAAAUUAUAGGAUCCAGUACUAUUAUUACAACCCAAAAUAAAAAAAAAGCUCUGAAAAGUAAACCUUUACUAAUCCUAAACUAUGCUCCAAUGCUUUAUCCGAUGCCCCGGGCCUUCAUCGAGAACGUCUCCCGAAUACAAGGUACCUCGGGGCAUUCCCUGGUGAAUGAAGACAAAUGACCACGGGGCAUUCCCCGACUAAAUGAAUACAUUUUCAAAAGCGAGAAAAAGAGAAUUAUUCAACAAAAAAAUCAACAAAACACCGUUAUUUACCUAUCUGACUUAGUAUUUGCCUACCCAUUUAAUGAUCUAAAACAUGAUACUAGCAAUUUCAACAAUAUCCAACAAUGAAUCAAAAUACCACAAUAUUCACUUUUUAUCAUUUUCGCAAUUCUGCCCCCAAAUUCAUUCUCAACGAUGAUUAACAUAUGCUUUGAUUAUCAAAUCACUUUUCAAAGUCCAAAAUCAACAUCAACCAACACAUAACAAAGAUUCAAACAUAUCAAACACACAAAUCAUUCAUAAUUACAUAAAAAUUAAAGGAAGAGGAGAUAGAAUUGGACCUCGAUUUUUAUUUCAAUCCCAAAUUAUUCAACAAAGCUACCAUCGGAAUACCCCUAAUUGAACCUCAACAGCAAUGAAACCCAACUCCGUAUAGAGGAACAAAAAUCCAAAAACUGCUCACAAAUGACCCGAUUGAGAUGAAAAAUCAAAUCCCAAACCAAUAUAAGCCUGGAGCGUUCAAAAUAGAAAUCGAAACUCAGCCCGAUUGAGAUUUUUCAUAAGAAAAUGAUUGAAACAAUGUGACUAAUUCCUUUUAACAGCGGCCACGUCUAUCAAAAGCAACAGAUUUCAGCGAGUUUGAGGACUUCGGAAUUGAGUACAUGGAAACAAAUGAACUGCUCACUAAUUCCAGUGAAAAUUUCACCGGAAUUUCUUGAACAACGAUCGGAUUCCCCUCCCCCCCGAUCUCUCACUCUCGAUUCUCUACUGCAUCUCUCUUUCUCUUUCUCCGUUAUUCUCUCUCUCUCUUCGUAACUCUCUCCCUCUCUCUCUCUUGAUUUACCCUUUUUUUGUGUGUGUAAAAUUGUGUGUUAAUAGAGUUGUUGCUAUGUUCUCUCUCACUGUGUGGGUGUUGCUCUCGGGUGAGCGAUGGAGGAGUGUGAUUGUGAGCUGGUGAAGAAGAAAAAAAAUGGCCUACUUUUUUUUCCUGAGUGUCUAUUAUUUCCUUUAUAUCUCCUUGGACCUUUGUAUUCCUGAGUAUAUAUAUGCAUGGAUCUAUGUGGAAGAGGAGAAAAGUUGGGUCUCUAUCCCUUUUUUGUGUGUUCAAUGAAAAAGGGAGUAUAUAUCUGUGUGUCUUUUUUGAGGGAAAACCAAAAGAAAUGUGAUGUCUCUCAUUCUUGUUGUUUUGGGGCCCCCUCCCUUUUUUUGGUUUAUUUUAUUUUUGUUGCCCCCCUCUAUAUAUAUAAAAAUGGAAAAAAUCCCCCUUUUCUUGGAAUCUAUUAAAAGCAAAGGAAAAAAAUAUGAUUUGGGGUAAGGUAGGCGUCUAGGGGUUAGUGGAGUAGGUAGGGGGUAUUGGGUGAGGGGUAGGUGGUUAGGAUAAAGUUUGUUGGGAUAAGGGAAUAUUAGGGAUUUAAUUUGUUAGAGAUUUAUUGAAUUUUUUUGUAUUUUUUUUGUGGGGGUAUAAUCACAUGUGUUAGAGUGUAUGAUAAAGUGAGGUAAAAAUGAAUAAAAUUGGACUUGAGAGGGACAAAAUUAGGUGUCUACAGCAUGCCCCCUUUGAAUAUAAACAUGAAGUGUUUUCAGACAAAGAAGUAGACAACGAAACAAAAUUUUGUCCCGACCAUUAUUCAAAAAGAAUGAAACAGAAGGAAGGAGGGAAACCAAGUCUUGACUUUAGACAUCAUACUUAGCCCUAGUUAUGAGGGAAUCAAGUCACAAGUAUCCCCAAGGACUGAAAGAAGAGGGACUAUACCGAGUUGGAGAGUCGAACCAGGUUCUGUCGAGGUUCCGAUCUGCGGCUCUGUCAUUACAUCAAAAACAAAAAUUACAAGUUAAAACAUAAAUGAAAUUACAAAUGUCCUAUCUAUGCGGCUUCUUUCGGACUCUUGACUUGAGUUUCAUCACCGUAUUCUUCAGGCAGGAUCCUGACUUGCAAUUUCUUCAACUUGUUGUCUGACUUUUAAUUUCUUCACCCAGUUCUCCAGGUGGGCUCAUGACUUGCUAUUUUUUAAUUUGUUGACUUUCAAUUUCUUCACCUUAUUGUUUGAGUUUUCAUUUAUUCACCCUGUGCUUCGAGCGGGCUCCAAUGUUGCUCGAAUUAUCAAAAUAAAAAAGUACGUCUCCUUACCAAUUUCUCUUGAAUUAUCCAAACAAGGAAGUGCGUCUCCUUACCAAUGUUGCUUGAAUUACCCAAACAAGGAAGUGUGUCUCCUUACCAACGUUUCUUGAAUUAACCAAACAAGGAAGUGCGUAUCCUUAAAAAUGUCACUUAAAUUACCGAAAUAAGAAAGUGUGUCUCCUUACCAAUGUCACUUGAUUUACCCAAAAAGGAAGUGCGACUCCUUACAAUGCCGGUUGAAUUACCCAAACAAAGAAAGUGCGUCUCCUUACAAGUUUCCCUUGAAUUACCAAAGAAGGAAGUGUGUUUCCUCACAAAUGUUGCAUGGUUUUGAAUGCCAAAUUUGUGCAGCAACAUUGCCUCUUGCAUUUGUAGAAGUCAGAAUAUUACGACCUUUGAUGUUUAGGCUUUGAAAUCCUUGAUUUGAAGGUAGCAUGUGUUCCUAUUUCAUACAAAGAAAACUUGUUAGUUUAAAAACAUGGUGGCUGGAUUGUGGCUUUGGAUUUCGUGGAAAUCACUCUUGCCCCUGUCACAUUUAAUCUUGCUUUCAACCAUUAGCAUGUGUCACUGACUUGCUGCAUCAUUGACCCGAACUCAGAUUAUUAAGAGUAACUCUGAAACAGAUACAGUAUAUCUGCUUUGUCGUGCUUCUCAGAUAAACCCUUUGAACCUUGGUAUUUCCAUGAGUUCCCAGACUUGUCGGUUGAUAAAACUUUCUGCAUGCCUUAUUUCGGCUCACAAUCAUGUCUCUUUCGUGUGUUGGCCUUUUGUAUUGCUUUGCGCAAUUGAAGAAGCUGGUAGCUAAUUUUGAAGUCUUUUCUCACUUGUUUUGACAUGGACUUGACUCAAAGACAAGAGAAAAAAUGACAAUGAUUUUAUUUGGACAACUGACUAAAGAAAAUAAAAUAAAAAUAACGAGAAGAAAGAAAAGACAAUGAAUGUCCCCAUUUGAAACAAAGAAAUGAAAAAUUUAUCUAGAAAUAACAGUCAACUCUAAUGAUUAUACCAUGCAUUUUCGAUCAAGCUGCCUGAUCUUUCCAUCCAAAUUUUUACCAAUUGUUGUUGAGUUAAUGACUCUGAAACUAAGUUACUUACUUGAACCCAUUGCAUUCAAAGAGCUCAUUUGGCUAGUGGCACAGUGAAGGAUUUUUGCCAACAAGACUCUCUCAUUUUUCUCUCAACUCACCAUCUCCUUAUAGUACCCGUGAGGGUGUCCAGUUUGAUUAUUACAACCCGAAAUAAAAAAAAGCAUUGAAAAGUAAACCUAUACUAAUCCUAAAUUACGCUCCAAUACUUUACCCGAUGCCCCGGGCCUUCAUCUCGAACGUCUUUCGAAUACAAGGUACCUCGGGGCAUUCCCAGGUGAAUAAAUACAAAUGACCAUGGGGCAUUCCCCGACUAAAUGAAUACAUUUUCAAAUGCGAGAAAAAGAGAAUUAUUCAACAAAACAUUCGAACAUUCAACAAAUCACCAUUCCUAAAAUUUGCCUAUCCGACUUAGUAUUUUCCUACCCAUUUAACGAUCUAAAAUAUAAUACUAUCAAUUUUAACAAUAUCCAACAAUGAGUCGAAAUACCACAAUAUUCACUUUUUAUCAUUUUCGCAAUUCCGCCCCCAAAUUCAUUCUCAACCGAUGAUUAACAUAUGCUUUGAUUAUCAAAUCACUUUUCAAAGUCCAAAAUCAACAUCAACCAACACACAACAAAGAUUCAAACAUACCAAACGCACAAAUCAUUCACAAUUACAUAAAAAUUAAAGGAAAGGGAGAUAGAAUUGUAUCUCAAUUUUUAUUUCAAUCCCGAAUUGUUCGACAAAGCUACCACCGGAAUACCCCUAAUUGGACCUCAACAUCGAUGAAACCCAAAUCCGUAUAGAGGAACAACAACCCAAAAAUUGCUCACAAAUGAUCCGAUUGAGAUGAACAAAAAUCAAAUCCCAAACCAAUAGUAGCCUGGAGCAUUCGAAAUAGAAAUCGUGAUAAACUCAACUCGAUUGAGAUCUUUCAUAAGAAAAUGAUUGAAACAGUGUGACUAAUUUCUUUUAACAGCGGCCGCGUCCGUCAAAAGCAAUAGAUUCCGGCGAGUUUGAGGACUUAGGAACUGAGUACACGGAAACAGAUGAACUGAUCACCGAUUCAAAAUUUCUUGAACAAUGAUCGGAUUCCCCCUCCCCCCGAUAUCUUACUCUCAAUUCUCUACUGUAUCUCUCUCUUUCUCCGUUACUCUCUCUCUCUCUCUCGAUCUACCCCUUUUUCUGUAUGUGUAAAAUUGUGUGUUAAUGUAGUUGUUGCUAUGUUCGCUCUUACUGUGUCGGUGUUUCUACCGGGUUAGCGAUGGAGGAGUGUGAUUGUGAGCUGGUGGAGAAGAAAAAAAAAUGGCCUGCUCUUUUUUUCCUGAGUGUCUAUUCUUUCCUUUAUAUCCCCCUGGACCUUUGUAUUCCUGAGUAUGUAUAUGCGUGGAUCUAUGUGGAAGAGGAGAAAAGUUGGGUCUUUUUUUUUUUUUUGUGUUCAAUGAAAAAGGGAGUAUAUAUCUGUGUGUGUUUUUUGAGGGAAUACCGAAAGAAAUGUGAUGUCUCUCAUUCUUGUGCUUGUGGGCCCCCUUCCCUUUUUUUGUUUUAUUCUAUUUUUGUUGUCCCCUCCAUACAUAUAGAAAUGGAAAAAAUCCCCCUUUUCUUGGAAUCUAUUAAGAGCAAAGGAAAAAAAUAUGAUUUGGGGUAAGGUAGGGGUCUAGGGGGUAGUGGGGUAGGUAGGGGUGUUGGGUGAGGAGUAGGUGGUUAGGAUAAAAUUUGCUGGGAUAAGGGAAUAUUAAGGAUUUAAUUUGUUAGAGAUUUAUUGAAUUUUUUUGUAUUAUUUUUUUUGUGGAGGUAUAAUCACAUGGAUUAGAGUGUAUGAUAAAGUGAGGUAAAAAUGAAUAAAAUUGGACUUGGGAGGGACAAAAUUAGGAGUCUACAUACGGAAUGCUAUAUUUGUAUAUGCAAAAAGAUAAUAAUAUUAAACAUUAUUGGAUAGUGCAUUAUAUUUAUCUUUCACAAUAAUAAAAUUUUACUAUAUAUUUUUCUUUAUUUCUUUUUAACUUGACACAUAUUGACCCAACACAAAUUCUUAGAAAAUAUGCUUUAGAAAUUUAUUUUAUUAAAUUAAAUUUAUUAAUUUUUACUGUAAAAAUUUAAAGUUAAGUUUAAAUAUUAGUAUUUCUAUAUAAGAAAAAAAUAAUUUUAAAAUUUAAAUUUAUUAAAUAAANNNNNNNNNNNNNNNNNNNNNNNNNNNNNNNNNUUAAUUUUCUAUAUAAAAGUCAAUUAAAAUAAUAAAAUUGAUUUACUUUAAAUAUUUAGUUGCAAUUAAUUAAUAUAAUUUUUUAUUUUGUCAUGAUUUAUGCUGCACCGAUAAAAUUUUGAGAGUUGAAUAGAACUUUUUUCUAUUUUUUUAAAAAUAUUUUAACUUGUUAAUUAUUGUGAUUUAUAUUAUUUUUUACGUAAUUAUUAAAUAAUAUAUUUACUCCUCGUGUCCCAAUUUAUGUGGCUUCGAUACAAUUUUGAGAGUCAACUAAAAUUUUAUAUGUCUUUUAAAUAUUUUAAGUUGUUAAUUAUUAUGAUUUGUAGUAUUGUUUCUUUUAUCUCAAUUUAUGUGACAAUGCUAAAAUAAUGAGAGUCAAUAAAAUUUCUAUAUGUCUUUUAAAUAUUUUAAGUUAUUAAUUAUUGUGAUCUGUGGUAAUAAAUUAGCUUUGAAUAUGAUAGCCAAUUAAAUAAAUAAAAUUUUUUUACUUCUAAUAUGUAGUUAUAGCUAAUUAAUAGAAAUUAAAAGAAUAUAUUAAAUAUUUAAACCAUUAUUGUCACACCCCUUUUUUAACCAAAAAAAUUCAUUUUAUGUUUGAAAGGAUUUUUAUUAUUAGGAGACAAAAGAUGAACAUUUGUUUCGAAAAAACAUUAUUCACAUUUUUGUUCAGAGUCGCCACUUGACAUAAUUCGGAGUGCCAGGUCACCUUUGGAAAAUCCUUUUCAAAACGAUUUGACUCUUUAAUCUGGUUUGCGAACAAAGAUUCCAGCUAACGAAUUCUGUUGAUUGAGAGAAAGGUGUUAGGCACCCCUCGAUCCCGUGGUUUGACCACGGUCACUUGGUGGAGCAUAUCGGAUAAUUUGAAGCUACAAAAUGUAUAAACCACACAAAACACAUGAAACAAGCAAAUAAACAAAUCAAACAAAAUUCAAAACCAAAAUAAUGUACGGUCCGAAUUAUACAGUCCCAAGAAUAGAAAAUACGAAAAUAUAAAUUCUAUUCUAGACUAAUCAUAAACUAUGCUCCAAUGCUUACCCGAUGCCUCGGGACUUCAUCACGAACGCCUUCCGCCAACAUAAUACGUCGGGGCAUUCCCCGGUGAAUAAAUACAAUAUGUCUCAGGGCAUUCUCCGGCUAAAUGAAUACAUUUUCCAAAUACGAGAAAGACAAACCAUUUUACAAACAUUCCAAACACUUAUUUAAACAUUCAACACAUUCAAUCAACACACAACUCCUAAAUUUUGCCUACCCGAACCUAAACAUUUUGCUUAUCCAAUUCGACCUAUCAUGAUACUAUAGAAUUCAUAAACUUGAUUCCAAAUUUGGCAAAACAACAACGAACCAACAUUAAACCAAAUUUACCCUUUUUAUCGAUCUCGCAAUUCCACCCCAAAUUCUCUUCUCAACCAAUAAUUAACACAUGCUUCGAUUAUCAAAUCAAUUUUUCAAACUCAAACCAACAUCAAUGACACAAAACAAAGAUUCAAACAUAUCAAACAACAGAUCAUUCACAUUCACAAAAAUUAAAGGAAGAAGAGAUAGAAUUGGACCUCAAUGCCGCUUUCCAAAUCGAGGCAUUAUUCGAUUAAAUGGGGUGCAAUCCAAAUCCUAAACCUCGAGUCGAACCUAACAACGAUCAAUCCAUCCUCAAUACAUACCCUUCAUUGUUUUAACUAUUUUUCGACACCGUUCUCCAGCAAACUUUGCUGGAAUUGAACUAAAGUUGGUCUAAUAUGGUCAAAUUAGAGUCGGAGGCGCGGUUUCCAUCAUGUCAGAACUCCGGCGAGCUUCGACGGUAACAAAAAAUAGAGAAAAACUGACCGCCGUAACGUUUUCUGAUGGGAUCCGAUGAUGGAGUGGAUUUUUGGUUGUUUUUUUUAUGUUUCCUGUCGAUCUCCGAUAGUCACAGCCGUAGACGACGAUUGGGUAUUCUCCGAUUGGUGAUUCCGGCGAUAGUUUUGCCGAAAAACUGAGUCAAAAUCUAUUACCCCUUUUUUGAUCGAUUCUCUCUCCAUUGAUUCUCUCUCUCUCGAUUCUCUUUGCUGUUUUACUUUGUUUUCUUUACUGUUUCCAACCUAUAUCCCUCCGUUCAUCUUUCCCGAUCUCCAAUUCUACUGUAUUUCUCCCUUUUCGGUGAUGUGUGCGUAUACCAGUAUGUGGAUGUGUGCAAAUCAGUGAGGACGAGUGAUUAUGUGAGUUGUGUGUGUAGUGUGUAUGUAUAUGGUGAGAGAAUGUGAUCAUAAUGAUGAUGUGGGUCCCACCUUAUAUUGUUAUGGGGUAUUGUUGCUGUGAGUAAAAAAUAUGCUCCUCCCUAUAUGUCGUGUAUGAUGUGUACAUAUUCCUUUUGGUGAGGUGUCCUUUUUGUUUGAGUUUGUUAGGAAAAGAUAAAAUUACUUAGGAGUUGUUAUUAUUAUUUUUUUGUAUUUUUGUGGUGUAUAAUUACAUGGAUGAGGGUGUACAAUAAAGUGAGGUAAAAAUGAAUAAAAUUGGACUUGGGAGGGACAAAAUUAGGUGUCUACAACAUGCCCCCUUUGAAUGUACACAUGAAGUGUUUUCAAAGAAAGAAGUAGACAACGAGACAAAUAUUUAUCCCGACCAUUAUUCAAAAAGAAUGAAACAGAAGAAAAGAGGGAAACCAAUUUUUGACUUUGGACAUCAUACUCAUCCCUAGUUAUUAGGGAAUCAAGUCACAAGUAUCCCCAAGGACUAAAAGAAGAGGGACUAUACCAAUUUGGAGAUUCGACCGAGGUUCUGUCAAGGUUCCGAUCUGCGGCUCUGUCAUUACAUCAAAAAUAAAAAUUACAAUUUAAAACAUAAAUAAAAUUACAAAAGUCCUAUCUAUGCGGUUUCUUUUGAACUCUUGACUUGAGUUUCAUCACCCUAUUCUUCAGGCGGGCUCCUGACUUGCAAUUUCUUCAGCUUGUUGCCUGACUUUCAAUUUCUUCAUCUUGUUUUUUGACUUUUCAUUUAUUCGCCUUGUGCUUUGGGAGGGCUUCAAUGUUUCUUGAGUUAUCAAAACAAGGAAGUGCGUCUCCUUACAAAUGCCGCUCGAAUUACCCAAACAAGGAAGUGCGUCUCCUUACAGAUGUUGCUUGAAUUACCAAAACAAGGAAGAACAUCUCCUUACAAAUGCCGGUUGAAUUACCCAAACAAGGAAAUGUAUCUCCUUACAAAUGCCACUUGAAUUACCAAAAUAAGAAAGUGCGUCUCCUUGCCAAUGCCGCUUGAAUUACCCAAACAAAGAAGUGCGUCUCCUUCAAAUGCCGGAUGAAUUACCCAAACAAAAAAGCAAACAAGGAAGGGCGUCUCCUUACAAAUGUUGCUAGAAAUAUCCAAACAGGAAAGUAUGUCUCCUUACCAAUGCCUCUUGAAUUACCAAAACAAGGAAGUGCAUCUCCUCACCAAUGCCGCUCAAAUUACCAAAACAAAGAAGUGUGUCUCCUUAUCAGUGCUUCUUGAAUUACCCAAAUAAGAAAGUGCGUCUCCUUACAAAUGUUGCUUGAAUUGUCCAAAUAAGGAAGUGCGUCUCCUUACAAAUAUUGCUUGAAUUUCCCAAACAAGGAAGUGUGUCUCCUUACAAAUGUUACUUGAAUUGCCCAAACAAGGAAGUGCGUCUUCUUACAAAUAUGUCUUGAAUUACCAAACAAGAAAGUGCGUCUCUUUACAAAUAUUGCUUGAAUUGCCCAAACAAGGAAGUGUGUCUCCUUACCAAUGCCGCUUGAAUUACCAAACUAGGGAGGUUCGUCUCCUUACCAAUGCUUCUUGAAUUAUUAAAAUAAGGAAGUGUGUCUCAUUACCAAUGUUGCUUGAAUUACCCAAACAAGGAAGUGUGUCUCUUUACAAAUGUUGGUAGAAAUACCCAAACCAAGGAAGUGCGUCUCCUUACCAAUGCUGCUUGAAUUGCCAAACCAAAAAACUGUGUCUUCGAGGGAUAUAGGAUGAUGAAUUUUUUUACCACGAUUUGAUUAUCAAACUUGUGCAGCAACUUUGUUUACUGCAUUUGUAGAAGUGAGACAUUGAAGCCCUUGAUAUUUAUGAUCUGAAGUCCUUGAUUUGAAGGUAACAUGUUUCCUAUUUCAUCAAAGAAAAUUUGUGUGUUUAAAAACAUGGUGGCUGGUUUGUGGCUUUAGCUUUCGCAGCAAUCGCUCUUGCCCCUGUCACAUUUAAUCUUGCUUUCAACUAUUAGCAUAUGUCAUUGACUCGCUGCAUCAUUGAUUCGAACUCAGAUUAUUAAGAGUGACUCUGAAACAAACACGGUAUUUCUGAUUUGCCAUGCUUCGCAGAUAAACCCUUUGAACCUGGAUAUUUCCAUAAGUUUCCAGACUUGUCUGUUGACAAAACUUUUUGCAUGCCUUAUUUCGGCUCACAAUCAUGUCUCUUUCAUGUCCUGAACUUUUGUCUUGAUUUGUGCAAUUGAAGAAGCUGGUAACCAGUUUUACAAUCUUUUCUCACUUAUUUUGACACGGUCUUGACUCAAAGACAAGAAAAGAACAAAGAAUGACAAUUUUUUUUAUAUUUGGAUAACUGGCUCAAGAAAGAUAAAACAAAAAUAAAGAGAAUAAAGAAAAGACAACGAAUGUCCCUCUUUAAAACAAAGAAAUGAAAAAUUCAUCUAAAAAUGACAGUCAACUCUAAUGAAUAUGCCAUGCAUUUUGGAUUAAGCAGCUUGAUCUUUUCAUCCAAACUAUCUACAAAUUGUUGUUGAGUUAAUGGCCUCAAAACUGAGUUUCUUCCUUAGGUUAAUUGCAUUUAGACCUCAUUCGGCUAGUGGCGCCUUGAAGGCUUUUUGCCAACAAGCCUCUUCCUUUCUCUCAACUCACCAUUGCCUUUAUGUCCGUGAGGAUUUUUGACCAAUAAGACUCUCUUAUUUUCAUUCCUCUUAAUUCACAGUCGUCUUAUGGUGCCUGUGAGGAUUUUCACCAGUAAGACUCUCUCAUUUUUAUUUCUCUCAACUUACCAUCGCCUUACAGUGACCGUGAGGGUUUUCGCCAAUAAGACUCUCAUUUUUAUUUCUCUCCUGAUUCUUAUUGCUGAGGUAGACAAGUAGUUCCCAAAAUACGUUAUCACAUUCAUUGCAUGCUUAGUCUUAACAUUCUCAAAUAUUGAUCUGAAGGUCUUUCUUUGGUUGUCACUUGGCUUUUGGAUAGGGUUAGAAGAAAAGGAUGACAUGAGGCCCAAACGACACUUGAAGUGGGGUAAGACUUACCACUUUUGGAAUUGACUCAAACAAUGAGGAUUAAAUCAUGCCCCAAUUUCUUUUGACUGGGAAAUUCUAAAUUGUUUAUUUGGUUGGACCGAGCCCUUAGUAGGGCAGCCUACGUAUCUGACCCCCGAGAGAGGAGAAUCAGGUCAUGCUUAGUUCUAGCAACUUGUUUUGCUUGAUUCUGAUUUCUUUUUUCUUUUGAUUUUUUUUCUUUGUGAUUUUCCUGACUCUAAUUUCCUGACACUCUUUUCUUCACUUUUGGACAUAUUUUUUUUCUCAACACUUUUCUUUUGAGUUUUGCUGACUCUAUCUUGAUUUCAAAUGAGGUGUAUGAAAGAAAAUAAAACUAAGGCUCAAAUGGGGUAAACAAAGGAUGACAUAAUGUUUAGAUAGCAGAAUGAAAUGCCUUCGUCAUAUCAAUCUUUGAAAAUACAAGUACAUAACAUGAAAAUUGAAAGUUGGAGAUGAAGAUCAUGUGCGACAUAUUUUACAACAUUAAAUUUGACCGAGUCGGUGCGACGCUGCUUCUUCUGCGCUUUUCUAGCAUACAACUCCACCUUUGUUGUACAUUCCUUACAUUGAAUGACUCAUGAUUUUGUGGAGCUGAUUUUCUUUCUGUUCCUCUGGAUAUAGGAUCACGCAUUCACUGUUUGACCUAAUUGAGGCACGCCUUACAAUUGAUGACCAAGUUAUUCUUGUGAUUCUCAAAAUAAAUGGCGUUAAUUUUCAAAAAAUGCUUGAACUUGUCACUAAAUGUCUCAGCACUCUACCUAUUUUCUCAGAUGCUCUCUUUUUCUAACUUUAAACCUCUGAUUCAAUGUUCAUGCUUAAACUAGAUUUUAAGAUCUGGCAGAAAAUUCCAUUAGCAUGUCAUAUCACUAGAGUCAACAUAAAAUGUACUGUGGAAAGAAAACAAAAAGAAAUAUAUUUAAAACACAAAGGAAAAAGGAAUACUCUAUUUAAAUAAAAUGAAAGAUAGAAGGGUUUGAACAUAACGACAAAUGGACAAAACAAGAUAGAUCCCAAACUACAUCCCUGAAAUAAUUUGGAUUACAGAAAACAAAACAAAACAAACUACCAGACCUCUUUCUAAGAGGGAGAGGGGUGACUUCUCAAUUGCUCAGCCUGACAUCUUAGCCAUUGGUUUGGAUAUCAGCAUGACUAGAGCUUUCCGCACUGUCAAUGGUCUGUACCAUAUUUGAGUUAUAUUGAAUCAUCUUUUCUAUUUCUCUUUUUAAAGAACGACAAUCUUCAAUACUGUGACCCUGAACAUCAUAAUGAUAUGCACAUCGUACAUUAGCAUCAAAACUUCUUGAAUGCGGGCCAGAAGUAUACCCAUGGAGAGGAUUGAUCAUGUCCCAUUGUAUCAAUCUCUGGAAUAAAUUGGCGUACGAAUCUCCAAUUGGUGUGAAGCUAUCUCUUGACUUCUACCUAAUUUCAUUGUUUAGCUUGGAUAAAAAAUCGGACCUACAAGGUCUUUAGUUAGAUUGUGGAGUUUGAGAAUGACUCUGAAGAGUUGGUGCAUGCCAUUAUGGGUAAGAAGGGAAUUGACCAUAGGGUUGUGCAUUGUAUAUUAGAUAUGUAGGUGGGGGAAUACAGUAUAAUGGAUUUUGGGAAAGAUUAUAUGGAGCUUGGACAUAAGCUUGGGUUUGAGCCUGUGGGUAACGAUGGUAUGAUACUCUUACCCAUGCCUGUUGUCCAACUACAAUGGCAGAUGCAUCUUCCUCAUACUUCUUCCCUCCGACACUUCCCAAACAUUUUUGAAUUGCUUGAGUCGUCGCUUUCAAUAUUGCAAAACUCACAAUGCGGCUGGUCUUAAUUCCAUCCUCUAUCAUUUCCUCCAUUUUGAAGACCUCAAUAAAUGACUUGCCUAAUGUAGGCAACAAGUGUUGAGAAUAUGUUUCAUCUUGCACUUGAAUAAAUACCUCCAUCAUCUUACUUUCUUUCAUUGACGGUUCACCCUAGCGGCUUGUUCACGCCAUCUAAUCGCAUACUCUCUGAAAGUCUCAAUACUCUUUUUAUGUAUGUUAGUUAGGGAUUUCUCAUCAGGUAUCAACUCCACAUUAUAUUGGAAUUGUUGCACAAAUUCAUUAGCUAGGUCAUCCCAACUAAUCCACUUAUCAAUGUCUUGGUCAACAAACCAUUCCUAAGCUAGGCCUGAAAGACUCACCAAAAUAUGCCAUGAGUAAUUAUUUCUUCCCCCCAGCACCCCUUAGUUGGUUGCAAUAACGUCUCAAAUGUGCUAUAGGAUCGCCAUGUCCAUCAUACUUCUCAAACUUCAGCAUUUUAAAGCCAAAAGAAAGAUGAAUCCCUGAAAACAUGCACAGAUCUUUAUAUGAGACACUUUUGUACCCCUUCAAGUCCCUGGAGGUCUUUCAUAGCCAGUUUCACACUUUUUAAUUUUCUGGUCAUUUUCACUUGUUCUUCUGUUAUAACUGGCUUCUCAAUGUAAAGAGGAAAUUCAGGCGGGUGAAUAUAGCCAUAAGGAUUUGUCGACUUAAAUGUGGGCUCAAUAGCAUGAUGUUGAUUAGCAAAAAUAUUCAAUACAAGCUCUCGCGCAGAGUGGGGAGGCACAACUUGUGGAUAAACCUCAAAAGUAAGAGCUUCAGGUGGGGGUGGUGCUGCAACAACAUGAACAACGAGUGGAGCCGAGCAUGUGGUAGCUUUGUGUUGAGGAGUGAGGAAAUGAGUAUUGGAAGUGUUUGGAUAGUCUUGCCCCAGAGCAGGUUCUAAUGCAUGUUGUGGUGUGUCAAUAAAAAUAGGAAACUGUGUAUGUGAUACUGGAGGCAAGCUAAAAAGAUAUUUCAGAUUAUUAACGGAAAAUGGAGGAAGUGGCAACCCUUUAUCCCAAGCUCGAUGCAUUUCUAUCAUUUUGUUGCCUUAAUUUUCGAAUCUCUUCAUUAGCUCCUAAAUUCUCAUAGCCCAAACUCCCUAUCUGAUCAGUGACAACAAACUAGAUAUCUUUGUUGGUCAUAACUUUCUCUGUGACUUGGUGCAAUAUGGAGGACCAACCAAAAUUCCACAAACCAACCACCUCAAACUAACUGAACAAGAGAUAGCAAAUGCGUUAGAAUUCAAAACUUUUUUUUUCAAAACCUUUUUUUCUUUUUGAAAAGGUCACCGAAUCCAAGAGGGGCACCUACAUAUCUCACUCCCGAGAGAGGAGAAUAAGGUGUGUGUAGUUCGUAAAGUCUUGCCAAAAUGGCCAAUUAAUUCUUUUUCCUUUCUUUUUUUCUUUUUCUUAAAACUUCAAAAAGAAAAGGAAAUAACAAAUGGUCAAAAGAAUUGACGAUUUUUUUUUUGUAUUUGUCAAGUUUAAACUCCCUAUACAAAAUGAAACCUAUGAUUACCAAAGAAAAAUCUUUUUGGAUUUUCGAUUUUGAAUUUCAUAUGAACAUGAAACUUGAACCUAUUAAAAGAAAAAUCUUUUUUGUAAUUUUAUUUUAAAGAUGUAUAUGAAACACCUACUCUAAUAAAGAGUGAAGAAAUUCUUUUUUUUUUCAAAUAAGAUCCCCGAACCCACAAUAGGCUGCCUACGUAUGUAACUCCUGAAAGAGGAGAAUCAAGGGUGCGUAGUUAGUCCAUGUAGAUUUUAAUUUUAAGGUUCGAAAGGGUUUUUAUUAUCAAAGUGACAAAAGAUGAAAAUUUGUUUUGAAAAGGAUUAUUUAUAUUCAAAACUCAGAAUCGCCACUUGGAAUGAAUCGGGUGUGCCAAGUCACCUUUGAAAAUCCUUUUUCAAAAUGGUUCGACUCUAAAACUGAUCCGCAAACAGAGAUUCCAGCUAAGGAAUUCUGUUGAUCGAGUGGAAGGUGUUAAGUACCCCUUGAUCCCUCGGUUCGACCACGGUCGCUCGGUAAAACAUAUCGGCUAAUUUGACACUAUGAAUGUAUAAACCACACAAAAACACAAAACUAAUCAAUCAAACUAACAAAACAAAUCCAAAAUUAUAGUGUCCAGUACAAUUAUACAAUCCAAAAUAGAAAAAUGCAAAAAACAUAAACCUACUCUAUUCUAGGCUAAUUCUAAACUAUGCUCCAUUGCUUUCUCCACUCGACGUUCUGGGCCUUCGUCAUGGACGUCCUCCGAGUACAAGAAGAAAGAAAGCUCUGUGUGUGUAAUUUUUUAUUUCUUCCUCUCCCCUUUGAAUUUUUUUAUGUAUAUUUAAUUGGCGUAUGUGGUGAUUAUAUGGUGAGGUGUGUCCUCUAUCCAAAGGUCUCGAUACUCUUUUUCUUCAUGUUAGUUGGGGAUUUCUCAUCAGGAAUCAACUCCACAUUGUAUUGGAAUUGUUGCACAAAUUCAUUAGUUAGGUCAUCCCAACUAAUCCACUUGUCAAUGUCUUGGUCAACAAACCAUUCCGAAGCUAGGCCUGAAAGACUCUCACCGAAAUAUGCCAUGAGUAAUUCUUUCUUCCCCCCAGCACCCCUUAGUUGAUUGCAAUAAUGUCUCAAAUGUGCUAUAGGAUCUCCAUGUCCAUCAUACUUCUCAAACUUUGGCAUUUUAAAGCCAAAAGGAAGAUGAACCCCUGGAAACAUGCACAAAUCUUUAUAUGAGACACUUUUGUACCCCUCCAAGUCCCUGGAGGUCUUUCAUAGCCAGUUCCACACUUUUUAUUUUUUUGGUCAUUUCCUCUUAUUCUUCUAUUAUAACAGGCUUCUCAAUGUUAAGAGGAAAUUCAGGCGGGUGAAUAUAGCCAUAAGGAUUAGUCGACUUAAAUGUGGGCUCAAUAGCAUGUUGUUGGUUAGCAAAAAAAUCCAAUACAGGCUCUCUCACAGAGUAGGGAGGCACAACUUGUGGAUAAACCUCAAAAGUAGGAGCUUUAGGUGGGGGUGGUGCUGCAAAAACAUGAACAAUGAGUGGAGCCGAGCAUGUGGUAGUAUUGUGUUGAGGAGUGAAGAAAUGAAUAUUAGAAGUGUUUCGAUAGUGUUGCCCCAGAGCAGGUUCUGAUGCAUGUUGUGGUGUGUCAAUAAAAAUAGGAAACUGUGUAUGUGACACUGGAGGCAAGCUAGAAAAAUAUUCCAGAUUAUCAGCGGGAAAUGGAGGAGGUGGCAACCCAUUAACACAAGCUCGAUGCAUUUCUAUCAUUUGUUGCCUUAAUUUUCGAAUCUCUUCAUUAGCUCCUAAAUUCACAUUGCCUGAACUCCUUAUCUGAUCAGUGACAACAAACUCGAUAUCUUUGUUGGCCAUAACUUUCUCUGUGACUUGGUGUAAUAUGGAGGACCAGUCAAAAUUCCACAAACCAACCACCUUAAACUAACUAUACAAGAGAUAGCAAAUGCGUUAGAAUUCAAAACUUCUUUUUUCAAAACCUUUUUUUCUUUUUGAAAAGGUCACCGAAUCCAAGAGGGGCGCCUACGUAUCUCACUCUUCAGAGAGGAGAAUCAGGUGUGCGUAGUUCGUAAAGUCUUGCCAAAAUGGCCAAUUAAUUCUUUUUCCUUUCUUUUUUCCUUUUUCUUGAAACUUUAAAAAGAAAAGGAAAUAAUAAAUGGUCAAAAAAAUUGACGAUUUUGUUUUUCGCAUUUUUCAAGUUUAAACUCCCUAUACAAAAUGAAACCUAUGAUUACCAAAGAAAAAUCUUUUUGAAUUUUUGAUUUUGAAUUUCAUAUGAACAUGAAACUUGAACCUAUUAAAGGAAAAAUCUUUUUUUGUAGUUUUCUUUUAAAGAUGUAUAUGAAACACCUACUCUAAUAAAGAGUGAAGAAAUUUUUUUUUUAAAAUAAGAUUCCUGAACUCACAAUAGGCUGCUUACGUAUCUCACUCCCGAGAGAGGAGAAUCAAGGGUGCGUAGUUAGUCCAUGUCACACCCCUAUUUUAACCAAAAAUUUUCAAAUUUAAGGUUCGAAAGGGUUUUUAUUAUCAAAGUGACAAAAGAUGAAAAUUUAUUUUGAAAAGGAUUAUUUAAAUUCAAAACUCAGAGUCGCCACUUGGAAUGAAUCAGGUGUGCCAAGUCACCUUGGGAAAUCCUUUUUCAAAAUAGUUUGAUUCUAAAACUGAUCCACGAACAGAGAUUCCAGCUAAGGAAUUCUGUUGAUUGAGUGGAAGGUGUUAGGCACCCCUCAAUCCUGUGGUUCGACCACGGUCGCUCGGUGGAAUAUCUCGGCUAAUUUGACGCUAUGAAUGUAUAAACCACACAAAAACACACAACUAAUCAAUCAAACAAACAAAACAAAUCCAAAAUUAUAGUGUCCAGUCCAAUUAUACAAUCCAAAAUAGAAAAAUGCAGAAAACAUAAACCUACUCUAUUCUAGGCUAAUUCUAAACUAUGCUCCAUUGCUUUCUCUACCCGACGUUCUGGGGCUUCGUCAUGGAUGUCCUCCGAGUAUAAAAUACUUUGGUGCAUUCCCCGGUGAAGAAGUGCAUAAGAUCUCGGGGCAUUCCCCAAUAAAAUGAAUACAGUUUCUCAAUUUUGUGCGUUAAAAUAAAAAGAGACAUUCAAAAAAUAUUCGCACAUUCAACAAAUCACCAUCUUCCAUUUUCUGUAAUUUGCCUAUCCAAACGUUGUAUUUGCCUACCCAUUUAACGAUCUAAAAUACGAUACUAUCAAUUUUAACAAUAUCCAACAAUGAAUGAAAACUAAUCAACAUCCACCUUAUUCGAUUCACAACUCCUUCCCCCAAAUUCCAUUCUCAACAUGAUUAAACCAAUUCAAUACGAAAUCAAGCAGUCAAAGCCACCACCGUGACAAUCAAAAUUUCUUAAAGACACAAUUAAAACAUAUCAACGAAUCACACUAUUACUCACGUAAAAUUGACAAAAUUAUAAAGAAAGGGAUAAAAAUUUGACCUCAAAUAUUGCCUCAGUCCACCAAAUUUCUUUAGCAAUUUCACGAAUACAUAGAAAGAGCACCGACCGGAACCGCGCAAACCUUGAACCCACGACAACCUCAAAUCGAGACCAAUUCGAUAAUGCUAAAAUAGAACAGUGACUUUGGGGGUUUUGUUCAAUGAUUAAAUGAGAUGUCGACCUACCAAAUUUACCAAAAUUAAUGCGAUGGUGGUGAACUGCUUCAGUAGAACAGUAACGACGAUGGUGACGGGUUACUUUGGUGAUUGUUUUUCAUACCCCACAACUAUUUUCUCUCCAACCCUCACUUCCGACCAAGCUCCGAUCAACCCCUACCCGUUGUCUUCUUCGAUUUGCAAGUGGGUGUCGAUUGUUUCCAGGGAGCUGUGUGUAUUUCGGUAAGGGAGGCAUUUUUGUGUGUUUGUUUUCUAUGAGUUUUUCAUGGGAGCUGUGAGUGUAUCGAAUGGAUAAAAAAGGAAAAAUCCGACCCCCUCGGUCAAGAAGAAAGGAAUCUCUGUGUAUGUAAUUUUUUAUUUCUUCCUCUCCCCUCUGAAUUUUUUGUGUAUAUUUAAUUAGCGUAUGUGGUGAUUAUAUGGUGAGGUGCGUCCUCUGUCCAAAAGGAAGAAUCAAGAUAAUUGUGAGAGUCAUGUCUGUAUUCUAUUGUUCUGUGAGUAUGGAAUCACGUGGGCCCCGUUUCUUUUUAUUUUUGUUAUUUUUUUUAUGAAUUUGUUUCAAAUUAAAGAAAACAUAUAGGGUAGGGGAAUAAGGGUGUGAGGUGGAGUAGGGUGGUGAGAGUAGGGGUAUGGGAUAGUGAGGUGGAAAAAGUUGUUUGAAUUUUGUUAUUUUUUGUUUUUUUGUGAAAGGAUUAUCAUAGAUGGUGUGUGAUAAGAUGAGCCAAAAAUGAAUAAAAUUGGACUUCAGGAGGGACAAAAUUAGGUGUCUACAACAUGCCCCCUUUGAAUGUAAACACGAAGUGUUUUCAGAUAAAGAAGUAGACAAUGAGACAGAAUUUUGUCCCGACCAUUAUUCAAAAAGAAUGAAACAGAAGGAAGAAGGGAGAUCAAGUAUUGAUUUAGGACAUCCCACCUACCCAAGUUAUAAAGAAAUCAAUUGACACGUAUCUUAAAGGACUGAAACAAGAUGGACUAUACCGAGUUGGAGAGUCGAGUGAGGUCCCGUCGAGGUUCUGGUCUGUGGCUCUGUUAUUACAUUAAAAAAAGAAAAUUAUAAGUUAAAACAUAAAUAAAAUUAUAAAAAUCCUAUCUGUGCAGCCUCUUUUGAAAUCUUGACUUGAGUUUCAUCACCAUAUUCUUCAGGAAGGCUCUUGACUUGCAAUUUCUUCAACUUGUUGUUUGGAUUUCAAUUUCUUCAACUUGUUGUUUGACAUUCAACUUCUUUACCUUGUUGUUUGACUUUCAACUUCUUAACCUUGUUGCUUGACUUUCAAUCUCUCAACCUGGUUACUUGACUUUCAAUUUCAUCAUUCUAUUCUUCAGGCGAGCUCCUAACUUGCCAUUUCAUCACCCUGUUCUUCAAGCGGGUUCUUGACUUUCAAUUUCAUCACCCUGUUCUUCAGACGGAUUCCUGACUUUGAAUUUUCAUCACCCUGUUCUUCAGGCGGGCUCCUGACUUGAUAUUUCAUCACUUUGUUCUUCAGGCGGGCUCCUGACUUACAAUUUUAUCACCCUAUUCUUCAGGCGAGCUCCUGAAACCAAAACCAAAUCUAAAAUGAAAAUUAUCCCAAACGAAGAUUAUGAUAAAGAAAGAUUUCAUUUUUUGAAAGUAUGGUCCCAUUUUCCAAGAGGGUCCUGAAUAGAAAGUAAAAUUCCAUUUUUCAAGAGGGUCCUGAAUAUAAAGUAAAUUCCAUUAUUUAGGAGGGUCCUAAAAUGAAAGUAAAAUCCCAUUUUCCAGGAGGGUCCUGAACAGAAAGUAAAAUCCCAUUCUUCAGGAGGGUCCUGAACAGAAAGUAAAAUCCCAUUCUCCAGGAGGGUCCUGAACAGAAAGUAAAUUCUCAUUUUUUCAGGAGGGUCCUGAGUAGAAAGUAAAAUCUAAUUUUCUAGAAGGGUCUUGAACAGAAAAAAAUCUCAUUUUCCAGGAGGGUUCUGAACAAAAAAUAAAAUCCCAAUUUCCAGGAGGGUCCUGAACAGAAAGUAAAAUCCCAUUUUUCAGGGGGGUCCUGAACAGAAAGUAAAGUCCCAUUUUCCAGGAGGGUCCUGAACAAAAAGUAAAAUCCUAUUUUUCAGGAGGGUCCUGAGCAUAAAGUAAAUUCCCAUUUUUCAGGAGGGUCCUGAGCUAAAUUUCUAUUGUUCAGGAGGGUCCUGAACAGAAAGUAAAAUUCUAUUUUUUAGGAGGGUCCUGAACAGAAAGUAAAAUCCCAUUUUUUAGGAGGGUCUUGAACAGAAAGUAAAAUCUCAUUUUCCAGGAGGGUCCUGAGCAGAAAGUAAAUUUCUAUUUUUCAGGAGGGUCCUGAAAAAAAAGUAAAAUUCUAUUUUUUAGGAGGGUCCUGAACAGAAAGUAAAAUCCCAUUUUUCAAGAAGUUCCUGAACAAAAAGUAAAAUCUCAUUUUUCAGGAGGGUCCUAAACAGAAAGUAAAAUCUCAUUUUCCAGGAGGGUCCUGAACAGAAAGUAAAGUCCCAUUUUCCAGGAAGGUCCUGAACAUAAAGUAAAUUUCAUUUUCCAGGAGGGUCCUGAACAGAAAGUAAAGUCCCAUUUUCCAGGAGGGUCCUGAGCAGAAAGUAAAUUCUCGUUUUUUAGGAGGGUCCUGAACAGAAAGUAAAAUCCCAUUUUUUAGGAGGGUCCUGAACAUAAAGUAAAGUCCCAUUUUUCAGGAGGGUCCUGAACAGAAAGUAAAAUUCUAUUUUUCAAGAGGCACCUAGACAUAAGGUAAAAUUCCAUUUUUCAGGAGGGUCCCGAACAAAAACAAAGGUCCCAUUUUCCAGGAGGGUCCUGAACAUAAAGUAAAAUCCCAUUUUUUUCAGGAGGGUCCUGAAUAGAAAGUAAAGUCCCAUUUUUCAGGAGGGUCCUGAACAUAAAGUAAAAUUCCACGGAUGUGCAUUUCCAAUGGUAGCUGAAUUAAGUGAAGCGAAUUUCCCCUUUUUCAACAAAGAAAAUUUGUCAGUUAAAAACUUAGUGGUGGCUUGCGGCCUUUGGCUGUCUCGACACCUGCUCCAGUGUUCAUUCCCUCCAUUUUGUUUCAGAUUGCUGGCACUUGCCCCUGCUUUGUCGUGUCAUUGACCCAAACUCAAAUUAUUAAGAGUGAUUCCAAAAUAAACACUGUAACUCUUCUUUGUCAUGCUUCUCACAUAAACCCUUUAAACCUUGGUAUUGUCAUGAGUUUCCCAGCUUGUCUGUUGACAAAACAUUCUGCAUGCCUUAUUCAGCUCACAAUCAUGUCUCUUUCAUAUGCUGACUUUGUCUUGCUUUGUGCAAUUGAAGAAGCUGGUAGCCAGUUUUGAAAUCUUUUCUCACUUAUUUUGAUAUGAACUUGACUCAAAGACAAGAGAAAAAUGACAAUGACUUUUAUUUAGACCACUGACUCAAGAAAACAAAGUAAAAAUAAAGAGAAGAAAGAAAAUAUAAUGAAUGUCCCUGUUUGAAACAAAGAAAUGAAAAAUUGAUCUAGAAACGACAGUCAACUCUAAUGAUUAUGCCAUGCGUAUGGGAUUAAACUGCCUGAUCUUUCCAUCCAAAACUUUCUACUAAUUGUUGUUGAGUUAAUGACCCUAAAAGUGAGUUGUUUUCUUGGUCCAAUUGUAUUCGGAGACCUCAUUCAGCUAGUGGUGCCUUGAAGGGUUUUCAGCAACAAACCUCUCUCAUUUCCUUUUAUCACCUGACCAUUGCCUUAUAGCAUCCGUGAGGGUUCUUUACCAAUAAGAUUCCCUUAUUUUCAUUUCUUUCAACUCACAGUCGUCUCACAGUGCCCGUAAAGGUUUUCACCGAUAAGACUCUCUCAUUUUUAUCUCUCUUAACUUACCAUCAUCUUACGGUGCCCGUGAGAGUUUUCACCAAUAAGACUCUCUCAUUUUUAUUUCUCUCUUAAUUCCUUAUGCCAAGGAAGAUAAAUAGUAUUCAAAAUGUGUCAUCACAUCCAUUGCAUGCUUAGCCCUAACACUCUCAAAGAUUGAUUUGAAGGUCUUUCUUUGGUUGUAACUUGGCUUUUGGAUAGUGAUAGAAAGAAAGGAUGGCAUGGGGCCUAAACGACACCUGAAGUGGGGUAUGACUUACAACUUUUGGAAUCGACUCAAACAAUGAGGAUUAACUCAUGCCCCAGUUUCUUUUAACUGGAUAAUUCUAAACUAUUUAUUUGGUUGGACCGAGCUCAGAGUAGGGAAGCAUACGUAUCUUACCCCUGAGAGAGGAGAAUCAGGUCACGUGUAGUUCUGGCAGCUUGUUCUUUUUCUUGAUUCUAUUUCUUUUUUUUUUAUUUUGUUGACUCUUUUCUCUUUGGGAUUUUUCUGACUUUAUUUUUCUUGACACUCUUUUUUUUUACAUGCUUUUCUCUCUUUUGUUUUUUGAAACUUUUUGAGUCUAUUAUUUUGCUUGACACUUUCUUUUGAGCUUUGCUGACUCUAUCUUGAUUCCAAAAGAGGUGUAUGAAAGAAAAUAAACCUAUAGGUCGAAUGGGGUAAACAGGAUGACACAAUGUUUGGAUAGCUGAAUGAACUGCCUUCGUAAUGUCAAUCCUUGAAAAUGCAAGCGGCAUAUCAUGCAAUAUGAAAGUGAAAGAUUAAGAUCAUUUGACACUUUAAUAUCACUAUCUUUAAUUGAGUAUGUGUGCUACUUCUUCCUAUACACUUUUCAAACAUACAACUCCACCUUUGUUGUACAUCCCUCAUAUUGAAUGACUCAUGCUUUCGUGGAGUCGAUUUUCUUUCUAUUCCUCUUGCUAGGAUCAUGCAGACACUGUUUGACCUAAUCGAGAUAUGUCUUUCAAUUGAUGACCAAGUUAUUCUUGUGAUUCUCAAAACAAUUGCCUUAAUUUUCAAAGAAGGCUUUAACUUGUCACCAAAUAUCUCAGCACUCUACCUAUUUUUUCAGAUAUUUCUUCUAACUUUAGCCCUCUGAUUCCAUAUUUCAUGGUUUGAUUGGAUUUUAAAAUGUGGCUAAAAUUUUCACUAGCGUGUCAUAUCACUAGAGUCAACAUAAAAUGUACUAUGUAAAGAAAAUGAACAAACAACACAUAUUUAAAACACAAAGCAAAAUGGGACACUUCAUUUAAUUGAAACAUAAGAUAGAAGGGUUUGAACAUAAAUGACAAAAGGACAAGAUAGAUUCUGAACUACAACCCUGAAAUAGUUCAAAAAAUAGAAAAUAAAACAAAAACAAGCUACCAGACCUCUUCUUAGUAAGGAGAGGUGUGACUUCUCAAUUGCUGAGCCUGACAUCUUAGCCACUGGUUUACAUAUCAGCAUGACUAGAGUUUCCCUCACUGUCAAAUGUUUUGCACCAUAAUUGAUCCAUUUAGAAUCAUCUUUUCCAUUUCUCAUUUCAAAUAUCGACAAUCUUCAAUACUAUGACCCUGAGCAUCAGAAUGAUAUGCACAUCGUACAUUAGGAUCGAAAUUUCUUAAACACCGAUUAAGAGUAUAUCCAAGGAGAGGAGUGAUCAUGCCCCAUUGUACCAAUCUCUAAAAUAAAUUGGCAUACGACUCUCCAAUUGGUGUAAAGCUAUCUCUCGACUUCUGCCUCAUUUCAUCAUUUGGCUUGGAUCGAAAAUCAGGCUUAGAAGGGUUUUGGUAUAUUUGUGGAGUUAGAGAAUGACUCUAGGAGUUGGUUUGUUCCACUGUGGGUAAGAUAGGGGUUGAAUAUGUGGUUGUGCAUUAUAUACUGGAUAUGGAGGGGGAGCAGUAGAGUAUAAUGGAUUUUGGGAGUGAUUAUGUGAAACUUGGGCAUGAACUUGGGUUUGUGCCUGAGAGUGACGACAACGUAGUUUUCUUGAUCUUUCCUGCUGUCCAACUACAAUAGUAGAUGCAUCUUCCUCAUUUUUUUUCUCCCUGAAACUUCCUAAACCCUUUUGAAUUGCUUGAGUAGUCGCUUUUAAUGUUGCAAAACUCACAAUGCGACCAGUCUUAAUUCCCCCUUCUAUCAUCUCCCCUAUUUUAAGAACCUCAAUAAAUGACUUGCCUAAUGCAGGUAACAAGUUUUGAUAAUAUGUUUCAUCUUGCGCUUGAAUAAACACCUCCACUAUUUUGCUUUCCUUCAUUGACAAUUUUACUCUAGCACCUUGUUCGUGCCAUCUGAUCGCAUACUCCCUAAAACUCUCAGUAUUCUUCUUUUUAUACAAGUUAGGGAUUUUUCGUCAGGGAUCAACUCCACAUUGUAUUGAAAUUGUUGCAAAAAUUCGUUAGCUAGGUCAUCCCAACUAAUCCAUUUGUCAAUGUAUUGGUCAAAAAACCAUUCCAAAGCUAGCCCUAAAAGACUCUCCCCGAAAUAAGCCAUGAGUAGUUCUUCCUUCCUUCCAGCCCCUCUUAAUUGGUUACAAUAGUGCCUCAAAUAUGCCACUGGGUCCCCAUGUCUGUCAUAUUUCUCAAACUUUGGCAUUUUUAAGCCAGGAGGAAGGUUGACACCUGGAAACAUGCAUAAGUCCUUAUAUGAGACACUUUUGUAACCCCCAAGUCCUUGUAAGUUCUUCAUAGCCAGUUCCAAACUUCUAAAUUUUCUGGUUAUUUCCUUUUCUUCUUCUGUCAUAACAGGCUUCUCAGUAUUAGGAGGAAAUUCAGGCGGGUGGGUGUCACCGUAAAGACCAGUCAACUUGAAUGUAGGCUCGGAAGUGUAAUGCUGAUCACCAAUAUUAUCCAAUGCAGGCUCUCUUCUAAAGUAAGAAGACACAACUUGUGGAUGAACAUCAAAAAUUGGAGCUUAAAGUGGGGGUGGCACCGCAAAAGCAUGAACAGCAGGUGGAGCCGAGUAUGUGGUAGUCUUGGAUUAGGGAGUGAGGAAAUGAACAUUAGAAGUGGUUGUUGUAUAUUGUUGCCCCGGAGUCGAUCCUGAUGCAUGUUGUGGCAUUUCAACAAAAAUAGGAAAUUGUGCAUGUGACACGGGAGGCAAGCUAGAAAGAUAUUCCAGAUUAUCAGUGGGAACUGGAGGAGGCGGCAACCCAUUAGCCCAAGCUCGAUGCAUUUCUAUCAUUUGUUGCCUUAAUUUUUGAAUCUCUUCAUUAGCUCCUAAAUUCUCAUUUUUCGAACUCCUUGUCUGAUUAGUGACAACAAACUCGGUAUCCUUGUUGGCCAUAACUUUCUCUGUGACUUGGUGCAAUAUAGAGGACAGCCAAAAUGCCACAAACCAACCACCUUAAACUAACUGAACAAGCGAUAGCAAAUGCGUUAGAGUUCAUGACUUUCUGGAAAUAUAUUUUUUUUCUUUUUGAAAAGGUCACUGAACCCAAGAAGGGCGCCUACGAAUCUCACCCCCGAGAGAGGAGAAUUAGGUGUGCCUAGUUCGUGAAGUCUUGCCAAAAUGGCCAAAUUAAACUCUUUUUCUAUUCCUUGAAACUUUGAGAAUAAAAGAAAAUAACAAUUUGUCAAAAGAAAAUCUUUUUGAAUUCUUCAGCUUUAACAUCCCUAUACAAAAUGAAAUCUAUGAUUAAACCAAAUUCCAUUCUCAACAUGAUUAAACCAAUUCAAUACGAAAUCAAACAUUCAAAGCCACCACCACAACAAUCAAAAUUGCUUAAACACACAAUCAAAACAUAUCAACGAAUCACACCAUUACUCACGUAAAAUUGACAAAAUUAUAAAGAUAGGGAUAAAAAUUUGACCUCAAAUAUUGCUUCAGUCCACCAAAUUUCUUUAGCAAUUUCACGAAUACAUAGAAGGAGCAGGGACCAGAACCGUGCAAACCUCGAACCCACAACAACCUCAACUCAAGACCAAUUCGAUAGUGCUAAAACAGAAUAGUGACUUUGGGGGUUUGGUUCAAUGAUGAAAUGAGAUGUCGACCUAUCGAAUUUAUCAAAAUUAACGCGAUGGUGGUGAACUGCUUCAUUGGAACAGUAACGACGAUGGUGGCGGGCUACUUCGGUGAUUUUUUUUCAUACCCCACAACUAUUUUUGCUCCAACCCUCACUUCCGACCAAGCUCUGAUCAACCCCUACCCGUUGUCUUCUUCGAUUUGCGAGUGGGUGUCGAUUGUUUCCGGUGAGCUGUGUGUAUUCCGGUGAGGGAGGCAUUUUUGUGUGUUUGUUUGCUAUGAGUUUUCCAUGGGAGCUGUGAGUGUAUUGAAUGGAGAAGAAAGGAAAAAUCUGACCCCCUUGGUCAAGAAGAAGGGAAGCUCUAUGUGUGUAAUUUUUUAUUUCUUCCUCUCCCCUCUGAAUUUUUAAUGUAUAUUUAAUUGGCGUAUGUGCUGAUUAUAUGGUGAGGUGGUCCUCUGUCCAAAAGGAAGAAUCGAGAUGAUUGUGAGAUUCAUAUGUGUAUUCUGUUGUUCUGUGAGUAUGGAAUCACGUGGGCCUUCUCCCUUUUCAUUUUUUUUUUGUGAAUUGGUUUUCAAUUAAAGAAAACGUAUGGGAUAGGGGAAUGAGGGUGUGAGGUGGGGUAGGGUGGUGAGAUUAGGGGUAUGGGAUAGUGAGGUGGAAAAAGCUAUUGGAAGUUUGUUAUUUUUUAUUUUUUUGUGAAGGGAUUAUCAAACGGAUGAAGGUGCGUGAUAAGGUGAGCCAAAAUUGGAUAAAAUUGAACUUCAGGAGGGACAAAAUUAGGUGUCUACAGUCCAGAUUGGACAAUUAAGGAUUAAAUGACAAACUAAACCCUGAAUUGAGAGACACAACUAAAGAAAGAUGAUGAAAAUAAAAUCAUUUUUGGGUUUUUAAUUAGAAACUAACACCAACAACUAUGAAAGAAAAAAUCUUUUUGAUAUUUUCGUUAUAUAAAAAUGUACAAAGCUCCUAUUGAAAGGGGAAAAAAUUUUGGAGUUUUCGAAUUGUGAAUGCUUACUAAAUAAAUAAAAGGAAAUUUUUUUUAACGUUUUUCAUUUUUUGGGAAAUGAGUGAAAAAAGUAAAAAAAUAAAUUUUUUUUUUGAAUUUUUGAAUUGUGAAACAAAAGCCAUAAAGAACCCUAAAAACUACCAAAUCUCUUCUUUUUCACUCUUUUUUUCUUCCUUUUUCAACAAUUUCCUUCCUACACACUUUGCCUCUAACUCAUGCUUUUGCCCAAAUUAGUCUGUCAAAUGACCUUGUUACUCUCAAAGAUGCAACAUUUAGCACGCAGGGAUGCUUUAGAGGUGAGUUUCCUACAAAGGACCAAGUGGGACCUGCUAGGUCUUCAAUAUGAUGCACAUAAGCAUGACCUAAAGGUUGACCUACAUUGGGGUUCACUAAUAAGGCUGUUCGGGGGAGCGUAUGGUCGAUAGUGGCUGAUUUGCUUUCCACCUACUCCAUAACACCGAUGGCUCCCCCCCCCCCCAAAAAAAGGGGGCUCUAACAAGGGGGCGGGUACAAANNNNNNNNNNNNNNNNNNNNNNNNNNNNNNNNNNNNNNNNNNNNNNNNNNNNNNNNNNNNNNNNNNNNNNNNNNNNNNNNNNNNNNNNNNNNNNNNNNNNNNNNNNNNNNNNNNNNNNNNAAAAUAAGGGUGACUCAACUAGAGGUCGUGUACAACAUGUGUACUGCAGACUUGUUGCAGAAAGAAUGACUCAGGUUAUGCACAGUAUGUCAGAUAUAAAGCGGUAACACAUAAGAUAAAAAUUGUAAACAAAGAGCACGUAGGCACUCAACAGUGAUAAUAUAAUAACACAAAACAACACAAACAAAAUGUCUAUACACCUAUAGUGUCAAACUAAGCCGAUACAACUCCAAAAUAAGCUCGAAUUCCAAAAAGUCCCUAGCAGAGUCCCGAGAGCUGUCACACCCCUUUUUUAACCAAAAAGAUUCAUUUUAAGUUUGAAAGAGUUUUUAUUAUUAGGUGACAAAAGAUGAACAUUUGUUUAGAAAAAAGAUUAUUUACAUUUUUGUUCAGAGUCGCCACUUGACAUAAUUCGGCGUGCCAAGUCACCUUGAAAAAAUCCUUUUCAAAAUGACUUGACUCUUUAAACUGGUUUGCAAACAGAGAUUCGGGCUAAGGAAUUCUAUUGACCAAGGGGAAGGUGUUAGGCACCCCUCGAUUCCGUGGUUCGACCACGAUUGUUUGGUGGAGCAUAUCGGCUAAUUUGACACAACAAAAUGUAUAAACCACAAAAAAACACGAAAAAAGCAAAUAAACAAAUCAAACAAAAUUCAAAACCAAAAUAAUGUCCAGUCUGAAUUAUACAGUCCCAAGGAUAGAAAAAUACGAAAAGAUAAAUCCUAUUCUAGACUAAUCCUAAACUAUGCUCCAAUGCUUACCCGAUGCCUCGGACCUUCAUCACGAACGUCUUCCGCCAACAUAAUACGUCGGGGCAUUCCCCGGUUAAUAAAUACAAUGUGUCUCGGGGAUCCCCCGGCUAAAUAAAUACAUUUUCCAAAUGCGAGAAAGACAAAUCAUUUCACAAAUAUUUCAAACACUCAUUUAAACAUUCAACGCAUUUAAUCAACACACCACUCCUAAAUUUUGCCUACCCGAACCUAAACAUUUUUCCUAUCCAAUUCGACCUAUCAUGAUACUAUAGAAUUCACAAACUUAAUUCCAAAUUAAACAAAACAACAACGAACCAACAUUAAACCAAAUUUAUCCUUUUUAUCAAUCUCGCAAUUCCACCCCAAAUUCUCUUCUCCACCAAUAAUUAACACAUGCUUCGAUUAUCAAAUCAAUUUUCCACAUUCAAACCAAUAUCAAUCGACACAAAAUAAAGAUUCAAACAUGUCAAACAACAAAUCAUUCACAUUCACGAAAAUUAAAGGAAGAGGAGAUAGAAUUGGACCUCAAUGCCGCUUUCAAAAUCGAUGUAUUAUUCGAUUAAAUGGGGUGCAAUCCACAUCCUAAACCUCGAGUCGAACCCAACAAUGACCAAUCAAACCUCAAUACAUACUCGUCACUAUUUUGACUAUUUUUCGACACCGUUCUCCAGCAGACUUCGCUGAAAUCGGACGAAGUUGGUCCAAUACGAUCGAAUUAGAGUCGGAGGCGUGGUUUCUGUCACGUCGAAACUCCGGCGAGCUUUGACAGUAACAAAAAACAGAGAGAAACUAACCACCAUACCGUUUUCUAACGGGAUCCGAUGAUGGAGUGGAUAUUUGGUUGUUGUUUUUUAUGUUUCCGGUCGAUCUCCGGCAGUCACGGCCAUAGACGACGAUUGGGUAUUCUCCGAUUGGUAAUUCCGGUGAUAGUUUCUUUAGAAAACUGAGCCAAAAUCUGUUACCCCUUUUUUGAUCGGUUCUCUCUCCCUCAAUUCUCUCUCUCUAUUCUCUUUGCUGUUUUACUCUGAUUUCUUCACUAUUUCCGACCUAUCUCCCUCCGUUCAUCUUUCCCGAUCUAUUCUACUGUAUUUCUCCCUUUUCAGUGAUGUGUGUGUAUACCAGUAUGUGGGUGUGUGCAAAUCAGUGAGGGCGAGUGAUUAUUGUGAGCUGUGUGUAUAAUAUGUAUGUAUAUGGUGAGAGAAUGUGAUCAUAAUGAUGAUGUGGGUCCCACCUUAUAUUGUUAUGGGGUAUUGUUGUUGUGAGUAAAAAAAUAUGCUCCUCCUCACGUGUCGUGUAUGAUGUGUACAUAUUUCUUUUGGUGAGGUGUUCUUUUUCUUUGAGUUUGUUAGGAAAAGAUAAAAUUAGUUAGGAGUUGUUAUAAUUUUUUUUGUAUUUUUGUGGGGUAUAAUUACAUGGAUGAGGGUGUACAAUAAAGUGAGGUAAAAAUGAAUACAAUUAGACUUGGGAGGGACAAAAUUAGGUGUCCACAAUUAUGAUGAAAUAAUGGAAUUAUUAUAUAUUGGGGUAUGAUAUGUAAUUAAGUGGGAGUAGAGGAAUUUUUUGGUAAUUGUAUAAGAGGUGGUCGAAACCACCUCUUCUAUAUAAUAGAAAAGUAAUAAUAGUGUUAUAAUCAGUUUGUGAAUAUCUCGACUAAUCUAUUAUUAUUUGUUUAUUGUCUACUAUCAUUAUAUAUAUGAAUCGAAUAACGAUUUUGUCAUCGAGAUCUAGACUAAUGAAAAAUAAUUCAUUUAGUAUUGUCGCAUCCAGUGUUUUAAAAGGCAAGUUUGGGAAUCUUCUCAAGAUGGGGCACUAACGAAUUAAAACGUCUCGAAACUCAAGUGUAGUACUUAAUUCUAUGAGGUUUACGCCUUAAGCAUCCGAUCAUAUGUCUUAAAAAUACUUUAUACAAUGCUUGGGGUUCAGCUAGUAACUCUUACAUAAAUUAAAUAUCAAAUUCCUUAAUCAACACUUUUAAUCCUCAUAAUUCUAUAAUAAAUGAAUCAUGCUUAGUGUUUUUCAUCUAUAGAAUAGGAAAAAUGAGAGUAGCUAAAUAACAAGUCGUAGUAUUGCUUAUUUAUUUUUUGAGAAUGUCGUGAGGGUGAAUAUGAAUUAAUUUUUUAAAAAAUAUAGACUGAAUACAUAUAUAGGCCCCUCAACUAUUCGAUCUUUUCCAUAUAGACGCCUCAAUUAAGCCAUGUACCUAUUGAAUCCUUUACUCCUUCAUAAAACAUGUCAAUUGAGUCCAAUCUGUUGACGUGACAAAAACUAUAAAAUGCGUGUAAUACACAUGCUAAUGAUAUGGCAAAGUGACAAAUCAAAUAAUGACGCGUGGCAUUUUAACUUAAAAUAAUUAUAAAAAUAAUUUUAAUAUAAUUAAAUCCAAAUUUGAAAAAAAAAACUAAUACACCCCACCCCCAACAGCCCUUUUCUUCCAACCNNNNNNNNNNNCCUCUUCGAUUGAGCACAAACAGUUAAAAAAAAUAAAUUGUAUCUUAUUCUUCUUCUUCAAUUUUAUUUUAUUCUGUUUUUUAUUGUUUAGUUAAUUUCGUUGAUAUUCUGAUUAUUGAAUCGAUUGUAUUGUCUUGAGUCUUACUUGGUUGUUAUUUUGAUCUGAAAAUCGGAAAAUUAUUAGGAUUUUGUUUUCAAUUGAAUUUUUUGUUAUUGAAUUGGUGUUGAUUUAAGUAUUUUUUUUUUUUUAGUUGUGAAGAUGGAUGGAUUGAGAAGCCAUUAAUGAUUUUUAAAGAAGUCAUUAAUGGAGAAGAAGAUAUGGACAAGAAGAUGAUGGCUAUUUCUUUUUUUUUUUAAAAAAUUCUUUAAUAUGUUCUUUUUAUUGGUUGGGGUUUUUUAUGUUUAAUUUUUUGAUUAAUUAUGAUUUCUCACUCAACUUAUAUAUGAAUGAGUUUUAAAGAAGCCAUUAAUGGAGAAGAAGAUGGGCUAUUUCUUUCUUCUUCUUUUUUUUUUAAUUUCUUUAGUGUUUUUUAUCAUUGGUUGAAGUUUUUUAUAUUUAAUUUUUUUUAUUAAUUAUGGUUUCUCACUCUCCUAAUGGAGAUUGUAUUAAACAUGUCAUGUCAUGUCAGCACCAUGUUAGCGAUUGGGCUUAAUUGACACAUUUUGCGAAGGAGUAAAGGAUUCAAUAGUUACAUGCCUUAAUUGAGAUGUCUAUACGAAAAAAAUCGAAUAGUUGAAGGACCUGUAUAUGUAUUCUGCCAAAAAUAUACAUACAUACAUACAUCCGAAAUUUAUAUCUUCACUUGAUUGAUCCUUAUGUUUUUGGCCAAUGUCUCAAAAUUAUCAUAAUUUAUUAAUUUAUUAUUUGAAAGUGUUUUAUUUUUAUUCACGGAGAAGUUAUGUUUUAAUUAUAAUACUAACAAUUUGUUGAUUUAUUUCUUUUGGGAUGUAAACUGCAUAGUAUAAUAGCCAUAAUUUUUAAGAAUUGUGAUUCUUUUAUUGUUUGAAAGUUAAGAUGUUAGAGUUGAUUUACAUCACAUAAUAGCUUUUAUAUCAUUAAAUUACCUCUACUUAUAAAGUGAUGUUAGAAUUCUGUUUUCUAUGAGUAUUUUUAAUCAUGUUUUAAAUUUUGAAAUAUUAUUAAUGUAUUAUUUUUUAAAAUUGUUGUGUUAUUAUAAUAUUUAACUAUGUUAUAAGUUAAAAUUAAAACUAAAGAUUCACGGGUGCAAAGGUUUUAUGAAGAUAUGAUAAAUUAUUAUUUGCGGAGGAAUUCUUCCUCAAUACAUACAAGAUGCUAUACAAAGUGUAGUUGAAUAUCAACUCUCUAAGAGAUAAACUAUAAUUCUAAUUUUAUGUAAAGAGAUAAACUGAACAAUUCUAAUCAAAUAUAAAUACAUAAAUGUGACGAUUAUGAUAUCCUAACAUGCCCCCGCAAGCUGAGCAGUGGUUGUGCAACUGCAAGCUUGAAACACAGGAGAUGAAACUGACGGGAAAGAAGGCUCUUGGUGAAGGUGUCUGCUAACUGAUCCAAGGAACUGAUAUAGGGAACGUUCAAGUCCUUAGAGGUCACUUUCUCUCGAACAAAAUGAAAAUUUAAUUCAAUAUGUUUGGUUCAUGCAUGAAAAAUAAAAUUGGCAGUGAGGUAGGUAGUAGACAGAGUAUCACACCAUAGUGCGAAAGCUUGGGGAAGAGAGAUGCAACUCUUGAAGAAGAUGUUGCAUCCAGGUAACUUCUACAGUAGCCGCAACUAAGGCCCUAUUUUUAGCCUCGAUACUAGAUCGUGCAAUUACUCGCUGCUUUUUUGAGCUUCAUGACACUAAAUUGGGUCCAAGAAAUAGACAAUAACCAUUGGUAGAUCGCCGAUUAUCUGGACAACCAGUCCAGUAAGCAUCUAUGAAGGCCUGAAGUGGUAAGGAGCUAGCGAAACGCAAAUGCGAACCGAGGUUUAGGAUUGCCUUUAAAUAGCGCAACAAGUGUUUUAUAGCAGUGUAAUAAGACUCCAUAAAUUUAUGCAUGAAUUCACAUAAUUUGUUGACAGUAAAUGACAACAAAACUUAUAUACUUUUUUUUUCAUUGAUAAAAGGGCAUUACAAUUACAUAGUCCAUGAGUUUUUUGAAACAAGAUGGACAAAAGCUUUUGCUUUUUCUUUUGAUCACUGGCUCAACAAAAUACACUAUAGAUUAUGAUAGAUAUAAACUUGUUUGAGUACUGGAAAUACUAUAUUUUUAACAAGUUUCACAAAACAAUAAUAAUAACAAAGUAAUUAACCACUUGAUAUAUAAGAGCGCAUAGGACACAAUUCCAAGAGUUAUAAAAUAUAGGACAACAUUAAUAUUGCAUGCAAUGCAACAAUAUCCAAACUUUGUUGAUCAAUGAAGACCACCACCAAUACCGCCACCGCCACCAAAGCCUCCACCAAAACCUCCACCAAGUCCACCACCUCCUCCUCCACCAAAACCACCACCACCACCGACGCCGCCACCAAGACCACCACCAGCACCAAAACCACCUCCUGCACCACCACCGACGCCGCCACCAAACCCUCCCCCUGCUCCACCACCUCCACCAAGACCACCACCACCUCCUAGACCACCACCCGCACCGCCACCAAAACCACCACCUGCACCACCACCAGCACCUCCACCAAAACCACCUCCACCUCCUAAGCCACCACCACCACCAAGAAACUUUUUACUAUAAAUCCCAUGUCCUAAACCCCCACCAAAACGACGAUUCCUAAACAUUAACUUCUCAUUUACAACUUCCUUCGUAACAACAUCAGCAUGGACAUAAUUGUCUACAACAAAUACAAGCAAGAGAAUAAAAAUCCCAACACUACGAGCAGAUAACAAUAAACCCAUUAUUUAUGACUACAAUUCCUAAACCCUAUGUGUAAGAAAUGAACUAAAAUAUCCAGAACAUGCAAGAAUGUUUACAAUAUAUGAGCCUAUUAUAUAGUGCAAGAAAAUCAC